GCUCAAAACUGUGGCUGUGCGCCAAACUUGUGUUGCAGUCAACAUGGUUAUUGCGGUCAGGGUAACGAUUACUGUGGCACUGGUUGCAAAGAAGGCCCUUGUUUCUCCAAGUCUCCCACUGGUGCUUCAGUUGCCUCCAUUGUUUCACCUCAGUUCUUCAACGGGAUAAUCAACCAAGCUCGUGCAGAUUGUGCGGGCAAGAAAUUCUAUACACGACAAGCUUUCCUGACUGCACUUGAUUCCUUUCCCGAUUUCGGAAAAUUGGGUUCUGAUGUUGAAUCCAAGCGUGAGAUUGCUGCAUUCUUCGCCCAUGCCACCCAUGAGACUGAAUGUAAAGCUCUUUUUCCUUUGAACUAAACUACGGAUUCAAAGCUCAUUAUAUCGUCCUAAAUCUGAUGUCGUUGUAUAUAUUCCUAUAUUUGCAGUCUUUUGCUAUAAAGAAGAGCAGGAUAAAAGUAAUAGCUACUGUGAAGCCAAUCCAAAGUUCCCAUGUGCACCAGGGAAGUCCUACCAUGGUCGAGGACCGCUUCAGCUUACAGGGAAUACUAACUACGGGAACGCAGGGAAUGCUUUGAAGCUGGACUUAUUGAAAAAUCCUGAAAUGGUGGCCAAUAAUCCUGUUGUCUCAUUUAAGGGUUCAUUAUGGUACUGGAUGGCCGCUGUCCGCCCCGUCAUCGGCCAAGGGUUCGGAGCAACCAUCAAAGCCAUCAAUGGCAGGCUUGAAUGUGGUGUUCCAGCUGCACAAGACAAAGUUCAGCGUCGAAUUCGGUUUUACACCGAUUAUUGUAAACAAUUGGGGGUUGAUCCUGGACCCAAGCUGUCUUGUUAGAGUUUUAGCGAUAUUUUCAGCUGUUUUUGUAGCAGUAUAAUAUGAACAAUUAGGGGCUUGAAGGCUACUGAUGCUGUUGAGUAGCUUUUGAUUUUCCCAGAAUAAGUUUACUGUAGGGUUCCUUUUAAGAGACCUGCUAUAGAAUAAAAUAAAGGGAAAUUUAUGUUAUUUUAUACAUUUGCCCUGCCAUGCGUCCUUUUUUCUUAAUAUACUUAAAUUAAAUAUAGCAAUGUAAUAAAAUAGACAAACAAUUUUCUUUUACUUGAUAGAUAGAUAAUGCGUCUAAGUUAAUAAUUGGUUUAGUUAAAGUAAAAUUUCAACACGCAUUUAGUAGUUAGAUUUGGGGCUGCUUUGUAUGGGUAUUUAUUUUCAGUGCAGUAAAUUUAGUUUUUUUAAGUCUCAUUUUAUUUUAUUGUUAUUGUUGUUUUUACACUAAUUGCAGAUAAAUAUACCGCCCAUUUAAAGGGGCUCUUGAAAAAAUUAUUCAGAAAACUCAUUACAGCUUUCCAUAAGUUCUCUUGUAAUUGUAAAAAAUAUGAUAAAUAUACCGCCCAUUUAAAGGGGCUCUUGAAAAAAUUAUUCAGAAAACUCAUUACAGCUUUCCAUAAGUUCUCUUGUAAUUGUAAAAAAUAUGAAAAACAAAUUCCAUCAUUUUUUAUUUCUCUCAUAUUUUUGUUAUUUAUUCAUAAUUUCUAACAUAAUUUUAAAUAAUUAUUGAUAAUCUCUCAUAAUUUUUAGUAUUUUCCCAUAAUUUUAGUAUUUUCUCGUAAGGCAUGCCAUUAGAAUUUUUAGUAUGCUUUCAAAAUAAAAUGUUGACUUGAAAAAUCAAUUUUUGAUAUAAAAGAAAUAUUUUUGCAUACUAAUAAAAUUUGUUUUAUAUAUACUAUAAAAUUUAAAUUUUUUUAAAAAAUAAAGUAAAUUUUAUAAGAAUCAAUAUUUGGUAGCCUCUUAUAAUUUUUGGUACUCCAUCAUGUUUUUUGGUACUCACAUCAUAUUUUUUGGUAUUUCCUCGUGUUUUUUAGUACUCCAAAAAUUAUGAGGGAAAACCCAAAAAAAUAAAAGACGUACAAAAGAAAAAAACAUUAAGAAGUACCAAAAAUAUGAGGGAAUAUUAGAGGAUACCAAAUUUGGUUCGUCUUACUAAAUCUGUUUCAUUUAUUUAAUUUUUACUUUUGAAAAAAAAAUUAUCAUGAAAUAUUUUUUUCCUUACAAAAUUUAGCAUGAAAAAUAAUAAUUUAAAAGUUAUCAAAAUUUUUCUUUACAUCAUCCUAUUAAAAUUUCUUAAUAUUUAAAAUUAAUAUUUUAUUACUCCAAAAUUAUAUCUCAUCCCAAAUCAUCAUUUCCAUGUAACACCCCCUAACCCCAAACUGUCGCCAGAACAGGGUUACGAGGCAUUACCGGACAUAUCAAACAGUUUACAAAUGAUUCUUAAAUAAAUGACAAACAUAUUAAAAUAUAAUCAUAAAUUCAUAUGUUUGUUUUACCAAUUGAUUUUAUUCAUUUCUUCCAUCUCUUUUUAUUUUAUUAUAUUUUUUUUUGUAAAUUUCGAUAGCUUUUCUGCUUAUUUUUACAUAAAACCCCCUGCAAUUAAAAUCGCAACCAAUUUACAGUCAAUACAAAUACCAAGACAUUUUCACAUUCAAACAUAUCUAAAUCAUGCCUAAACAUUUACUUAUCAAAUUGAUCAACAAUAUUCAUAAUACUUUAUAAAAGUUAACUAAUAACUUUAUUCAUCUGAUUUCAACUUUAGUACCCAACAAACCAUUUUAUAACUUAAUGUUUCGUUUAUCAUUCAAACAUUAGAAACUAAUUCUUUUCAAUCAAAACUUAUAAGACUCUUUAAUAAAACCUAAGUACAUGCCACAUUUACUAAAAGGAGAAUUACAUCACCGAAGUUAUGCUGAAGUCGAGAUUAAUCUGGAUGCUGAACCGGUACCUUUUUACUUCUAUCGACCUGCGCACAGAAACAACCGUUACGCUAAGUAUUUCAUACUCAGUAGUAUUACUAUAAUUUAAAUUAUUUAAGUAAAAUAACAAAUAAACAUGUCGAAUUAUAUAACAAUUAAUUCAUAAAUAAACUAGCUUAUUCUUAACUUUCAUUUCUCAACAUUAACAGCUCAAUUUGGUUAUUCAUCAAUUUAAUAUCAUAUAACAUUUCUUUUGAAUAUAAAUCUCUUCAUGAAUCUUUAAUUCAUUCUUUUCAUUCUCAUUUCUCAAUUUCAAUUCACUUCCCAUUUCAUGAAUAAAGUUGAUCAUUUUAAUUCAAUUAUUUUGGUAUUUCAUUUAUUUGCCCCUAUUAACAAGACUCAAACUUUGGCGGAUACACGGAUCCGACCAAACACACUAGAAUGGCACCCAGUGCCUCAUCGGAUAGUUUGAAGCAAAGUUGACACCCAGUGUCUCAUCGGUCAACCCAAAGUAAGUUGGAACCCAGUACCUCAUCGAAUCUAUCCUAAGAAAUAUAGUGACACUCAGUGUCUCAUCGACUCGAGGUCGAAGUAUCCCUAAACUCUUCCAAUCCUAUGGCAUGCCAACUAUAUCAGACUCAUCCCGACUAGUUAAUAGGUUAUUCAAAUCAUUUUCUAUUUCAAAUUCACUUUCUACUUUCUAAUCAAUAUACAAUUCAAUACCAAUACAUAUUUCAGAUAUUUACAUAUAAUCAUACUUCGAUUCAAUUCAAAUCACUUUUCAAUCAAUACACAAUUCACAUAUUCACACAUAAUCAUAAUUUAAUCCACUUUUAUUCAAUUCAUAUUUUUAAUUCAUUUUCCAAUCAAAUUCAAAUCACUAAUUAUUUUUCAAUCAAUAUACAUUUCAAAUACUCACGUAUUUUCUUCAUUCAAUUCAAUUUGAUUCAAUCCAAAUCACUAUUAUCAUUUCAAUUGCUUACCUAAUUUUACUUACCAUGCAUUUUAAUUAAAAUAUAACAAUUAAUAAUAAAUAGAUUUGAAUUAUAGUAAUACAAACCGUAAAUCUCCCGUUUUAGUCCUCGAUAGCUUUCUCCUUUCCUUUUGAUGCCGAUGCCUCGGGUUCUUUGUUAGCUACGAAAUAAUAAUAAUUUUUUGCUAUUAAUUACAAUAUUAAAUUAAAAUAAAUAAUUGAAUUUCUAAUCAAAUUUUACCUUACUCUUAAUUUAAUCUUAACUAAUAGAAUCGGGAUAGUAAAUCAGAGAUUAGUGAAUUAAAAAUCGUAAUUAAGUCAGAUUAUUAAAUAAUUAGAAAUUAAUUAAAUAAAAUAUUAAAAUAAAUAGAAUUAAAGAUUUUAGGUUAAAAAAUUAAAAUUAAGUGUUUAAAAAUUAAUUUGGUUAAAACGAAUUUUAAAAAUAAAAUCGAGUUUGAAAAUAAUUGAGAAACAAUUUGUUUUAACUAAGGAUUGAUUUGAAAAAUAAAGAAAAAUUGGGUGUUUUUAAAAGGCAAUGUUUCCUCUCUUUUUUUUAAAAAAAAAAAUUGCUUAUCUUUUUUCUCCUUAAGAACCCCCGCACCCCAUUCCCUCCCAUUUAGUUUUACAUUCAAAAAAGUUUCCAAAUUCAAAUAUGAUAUUUUCUCUUAAAAUUAACUUAUCCUUAGUGAUUUUCUAGCUGUCCAAAUACCUCAACACCAUUCAAUUUUAAAGAAAAACCAUUAAAUCCUUAUCAAAUUCGUCAUUAUCCUUCUCAUGUCCAACUUCGAAUUAGCUCCACAACAUGUUGUUUUCUUCAAAUUGAGGUAAUCUCUUGACUUAUUAUGAUUAGAUUAAGGUUUUUGUUUUUCUAUUUCGGAAUUUAAUUAAGCGCGUUGAGAGUUUUUAAGAUUUAAAGCUUUUUAAUCAAAUCUUAAUCCAACAAUGGUGAAAUUUGAAAUAAUAAGUAAACCUACAAUUUUUUAUUGAUUUCUAAUAUAUUUUUAACUAAAUAUAAGGUGUUUGAACUCAAUUUAAUGGAUCGGUAAUGAAUUUUCAAGAAUUUCAAAAUUUCCCCUUUUGUAUGUUCAUACAAACUUGAUUUUCCGAAAAUUUUAAAUUCGUAAGAUAGGUAAAAUUAAAGGUUUAUAUUUGCAAAAAUAGGUUAAAUAAGAUGUUUAGAAACUUAAUUAAGGUUUAGGAACAUAAAUUGAGUGAGGAAACCUCAAAUUUCGACAAAAUGAGUUGAUUUUCGGUAUGAGAAAAGUGACCUUAGAGUAGUGAUUUUGCUACUGUUCUUUUUAAGGUUGUUGAUGAUGUGUCUAUAAUGUAUUUAAUGUGAAUGCAAAGUGUCAGACUCGUCGGGAGCUUUUACGAGCAAGGCAAAAAGGAAAGAAAAGCUCGUUUGAGAUUGUUGUGUGCAAGGCAUCGACUAGGUGAGUGAUUGAAACUGUGGUUCUAAGGCAUGAUUCCUAAGGUUGAAUAGGAGCUUAGGUUGGUCUAAUAACCUAACCUAAGCUUCGAGAGUAAGUAUUCCUACUUGAUCUACGUACUAUUAAAUUCGAUGUUUGUUUAUUGUGAUAUGUGAAUCAUGUGAAAUAUUAAGCAUGUGUUAUGUGUAAAUGACAAUGAUUGAUAAGUACUUGUUGGUUUUAUGCGCACUUGAAUAAUUUAAUAUGAUUAUGGCUCUUUUGAGCAAUUUUGAUAGCAUUUGAGAGUGCAUUAAAAGUUUUGAGAAAUUGAUUGAGAAAAUGUUGUUAACAAGUGAAAGUUUGUAUAAAAUGAUGAGUGAAUAUGUGUGUAAGAGGAUAUGUUGGCAUUGUGAUUAUUUGGAACCAUUGGAUAUCAUUGGCAUAUCAUAGGAUUAUGAGUAAUCACCAUUUUUAUUAUGUGUUAAGGCAUUAUGGCCCGGAGAUAGCGUUGGAGAGAUAAGGAAAUGUCGAGCGUAGCUCUAUCAUCGUAGAUAGCGUGGUGUGUUUAGAGAGCGUGAGCAUUCAUGCUAUACUUACAUGGAGGUAACAUUCAACUUUAUGAGUCAUGAGGAGUGUUUGGAGAUCUGCUUAUCUAAUGCAUUACUGAUUAUAUAUAUGUUCCAUGUCACAUUAUGCCAAUAUAUCAUUGUGUUUGGUUUGUGAUAUGUUUGAUGCUAUGUCAUGGUUGCAAGAUUUAGUAUGUUUUCUUUCAACUAUGGAUUUUAUGUCUAAUAGUGGCAAUUUUUUGUGCACUCACUGGGAUUUACCAAGCUCACAUUCCUUACUUUACCGUACAGAUAAAUAGUUCAUGGGUUAGCGAGGAGGGUGGCAAAUUGGUGAUCCAUCAUUGCAAGGCAUUUUUUUAGAGUAUGUGGGUUGAGCUUUUAAACUCUAAAGUGAAGGUAACGUGGGUUGUUCCAAUGUUUUAGUACUAGAAUUAGACUUGGACUUUUUAAAUAAAAUUUUCAACAUGUUGUAAACGAACAUUUCGAACUGUUUAAUUUUUAGUUUUUGGGAUUUUGAAUGUUUUAAUUGUUUGUUUGAUUGCUUGUCUGGAUGGUUUUAUUACUAAUUUAAUGUGAUGAUAAUCAUAUAAGCUAACGAUUUUUUUGCAACUAAGAGAGACCGCCGAAUAUUAAGGUACGCCCUAUACUUUCUAAUUGUGUGAAUGAAAUAAUUAAUUUAGAAAAACAUGCACUUAGGACUAAUUCCUAUAUGAAAUAUUCUACAAAUGUGUGGUGUGUGUAUAGUUGGUUGGUGUGGUUUGUAAAGUUUUAAAUAGAGAGUCACCUCGGUGGCUAAUGUGACAUUCGAAAUUUAAGUUGGACCGUGUCUCGAUCGGGUUUGCAGUGUCACAUAUACCAAUUUUUCGUUUGUCUUAUAAUUUUUUUUCAUUUAUUUAAAUUUUCAUAUUUUUUAAAAAUUAUCAUGAAAUAUGAAUUUUUGCAGUACCUGAUUAAAUGCAAAAAGUACAUAUUUUAUGUAAUUUAAUUGGUCAAUUUUUGAGAAUGCACCACUAAUUUUCUCCAUUUUAUAUUGAAUUUUAUACAGGCGUGCAAUUUAGGGUCAAAAGAGAAAAAGGAGAAGCAAUUGGGCUAGAUUGAAGAAAGGAGCAAAGAAGGCAGGCCAAAACAGAAUUUUUCUAAGUUGUAAUUAGCUGAAAUUUUAUUUUGACUUAUUGGGAGAUUAUGUAGGGAUUUUGAUAUCAUGGGAAUAUUUUUUUUCUUGAUUUUCUAUGGCUAGUGGCCUUUAAUUUGGCAAAUUUGUUCAAAGCCACUAGUACAAAUAGGGGGCUACUAUGUUCAUUUAAGCAUCAAGUUUUUCAUCAAGCUUUCAUCUUUGGAAUGCAAUCUUUCCUUUCCUCUCUCGAAAUUAUUUGUUGUCUUUGGUUACUUUACUUUCAAAAUAUUAAUUUCUAGCUUGUCACCAACCUACACUACUUACAUUUUUCUUUUUCAAACCUUUUCCUCAUUCCUUGUAACCUUAUACUAUUUUUAUACCCAAACAAAAUCCCAGCCACAUAUUAAGCCACCCACUUUUACCAUUUCAACAUUUUUUUCAUCCAACCCACUCAAGAUAUGACCAGCUCCAAUAUGCCCCAAACCUUAGUCAACUAAACCCAUUUCAGCUUCAGGUCAGUGUUAGUUUCAUCAAGAUCCGUGAGUUACGAACCCGAGCAAUUCAAUUCCUAAUUUUUAGUACUUAUUAUUUCUCUGGAGUAAGAGUAUGACUUCGUCAACUCACAAAGUCAAAUCAACACUAAGUCAAAAAAGACGUCGUUUGAGUUAGUGUGGUUAGACGUACAGUUGGAAUUCCGAAAGGAUCGAUUGUCUAAUCAGUUUUCCGUGAACACAUUGGCGUACCAAGUGGGGAUUAUUGUUUGGUUCCGUCAAGGGAAGUAGUAUCCGGAUUUAAAUGUCCCACGCGGUUGAGGACAUUGGUUCGAGCUAGGCUCUUCUAGAACGCAAGGCUGCCAGAGUUCUAAACCACGAACGUUUCGUUGGUUGUUCGAUCGGUAAGAGUUAGUUAUAGGACGUUCCAUAACUAAUUUACACAAGAAAGAGUUGGUGUCCGAGGCGUCCUUGGUAGCUAUAACUAGCUUAUUGGAAAAGAGGAGUUCAUGUAAUUUCGAGGAUCGGUUCAAAGACGAGGAAAAACCUAUGCCUGAAGCUAAGCUAAGUUUAAUUAAUUUUUCUUCAGAUUUACUUAACUAUUUUUAUUAUUUAAUUGUUUUCAGCUUUUACUUUUUACACAUUUUUCCCUAUUUAUUUCAGGUUUUCAAAUUUUAUCCCUCCAAAAUUUCUUGGGCACGACAACUGCCCAGACAUACAUCUGGUCGAGAGAGAGAAAUAAUUUUCAGUAAAUCCAGUCUCUGAGGGAUCGACCCUACUCUCUAUACUGCUCAAGUUUGCAAAUUAGGUGUAGGAUUAUAUUGGUGGAAUCGACACCCAUCAGUACCAAUUUUUAGUAUUAAAAAUUAUAAUUUCACAGUUACAAUUUUUUUCCAUUACAACAUCUCAUUGAAAUUUUGUAAGCACUAAAUUUUGUCUGGGUUUUGUCAUGUUUAAUUUUUUUUUAAUUUCAAAAAAUACAAAAAAUAAAAAAUUACAUUUUGACCCCUAAACUUCUUAAAAUCGCAUUUGACCCCUAAAUUUUCCUAAAAUUAUAUUUUGACCCCUAAAAUUUUUGAAAUUACAUUUUGACCCAUUAACUUUUCGAAAUUAUAUUUUGACUCCUAAAUUUUCUAAAAAUGAUAUCUUGGACCCAAAAGUUUUGCUGCGUUUGCAAUCUGGUUUUUCUGGCAACCAAACGUGAUUUGUGCACCUAAUCACCAAGAUUUUCGGCCACCGACCUAGGGUAUGGCCUCCCUUCUCCCCAGCAACCUGCCACCUGCAAAAAGAAGGAAAGAAAUCACUAUAAAAUGGGUUUAAAACCCCAAAAUCAAGACCCCCCACAAAACGAAAAAGAAAAAAAAGAGAGCUUUUUCGAAAAAAGAGAAGAGAAGAGAAGAGAAAGAAAAGAAAAAGAAAAAAAGAAGAGAAGAUGAGAGCUUCCGGCGGCGACCCAACGACAGAGACGACGGCAACGGCAACGGCGACGUGAAAGAGGCAGCGAGGCAAGCUAGGGUUUCGAAAAAGAAGAAGGAAGAAGAAAAAUAAAAAGAAGAAGAAGAAGAAAGGAAAAAAAGAAAAAGAGAAAAAAAGAAAAUAAUUUUUUUUAAAAUAGUCGGGUUGACCGAACCGAACCGACUCGACCCAGAUCCGACCUGCACCCGACCUGAGCAGCCCACCAGCAACCCCAACCCCAAAAAAGAAAUACAGCAGCAAAAAAAAGCAGCCCCCAUAGUAGGCCUCGCAGGCCAACCCAAGCGCAGGCCCAACCCAGCGCCAGGCCUAGCAGGCUAGCAGACCCAUCCUAGCACCAGCAGGCCCCCAGGCCCUUUCUAGCAGCAGGCCCAACAGCUUGCCUAGCCCAGUCCCGAAAAAAGGAAGGAAAAAAAGGAAAAAAGAAAGAAAAAAAAAGAGAAAAAGAGAAAAGAAAAAAGGAAAAAGGGUUGUGUAUUCCGUUCAUCAAGCUUGUAUUUUCGAGNNNNNNNNNNNNNNNNNNNNNNNNNNNNNNNNNNNNNNNNNNNNNNNNNNNNNNNNNNNNNNNNNNNNNNNNNNNNNNNNNNNNNNNNNNNNNNNNNNNNAUUUUUGAAAAUUAAGACAACACACGCUUAACGAGAUACCAAUUUUUGGCGUCGCGAGGGUGCUAAUACCUUCCUCGCGCGUAACCGACUCCCAAACUCUAAUUUUCCCUGGAUUUUUUAACGUGGACCUAAAAUUGACUCUUUUAAAGAAAAUUUCAAAAAUUUAUCUUUUAAAAAGAGAAUUUAAUAGGUGAUCGAUCACACCUAGAAAAAAAAAUCGGUGGCGACUCCCUUUUUUAAAUAAAAUCGAGACUCUGCUUUUAAAUUUUCCCUAAUCACUUUGACUAGCGCCCGUGCGAAAAUUUUUAGGUCGCUACAGUUGGCGACUCCGCUGGGGACGAUUUUUGAGAGUCGAGUCUGAUGUUAAACGCGUGUUGUCAAAAUUUUAAAAAUUUCUUGUUCAAAUUAAUUUUUAAUUGUGAUCCUUGAACUUUAUUUUUGAAAAGUCAUGCAUCUGCAUCCGGUUUGUAAAUUAAUAUUUUUCUAACUUAUUUUAUUUUUCUGUUUUUUUUCAGCUCUAAGUUUUACAGUUUUUUUUAGUUUGUUUUUUUAGUAAAAAUAAAAAAUAAAAAGUAAAAAGGUUUGUGAGUUUCUCCACACACACCAUGCACUUGCAUUCUUGCAUAACAUGAGCUCUCUACCCAGACUUCGUCCGUUUAAGUGGAAGUAAACGCUACGCCUUCGUGAGUUAACUCGUCCCUCCGCACAAGCUAGUGAAUUACUUCCAGGUUACAUAUGACUUAUGCUUUCGUGAGUCAACUUGUCCCUCCGCAUAGGCAUAAGUAAAUGUAACCCCUCGAAUUGAGCUCGCGAGCCCAUGACGGGUGAUAACCGAGGCUCCGUACUAACCUUAGUAGGUGACAGUAUGGACAAUUCGAGUACCUUUCUAGAACCAAAACCACAUAUAGUGAACCGUACGAGCCACCCAGUUAGAGCCAUGUCGAACCUUUGUCCAUUGGAUAUUUACCAAAUAAGUACAUGGGAGAAACACCUCUUACCUUGUAUUUCUUUUUCAUUUGCAUCUUUUGUAAGGGAAUCGGGCCUGUUUAAUAAAAUUGGAUCGGGUAGAUUAUCUGAUGAGUAUGUGGGGUAGGUUUCUCGUAAAGCAUGAUGGGGCAAAAAGAAAACAAAAAAAAAUUUGGGUCUGUUUCACCAAAUUGCAUGAUUGAAUAGCUUAAUUUGUUAGAUUUUCCAUAGUUUUUAGUUAUUUCCUCUAUUUAUAUCUGUUGUGAUUACUAACCAAGGUUAUUUGUCUUCAUUUUAUUUCUCGUCAUAUAUCAUAGGCAUUUUAUUAGGAAGGUGUUGAUUAGAGAUUGGUUGCCAAAAAUGAGUUUCUGAUGGAAGAGUCAAUUACACGAGUAACUGAGAAAAAUGAUGUAGUCCAAGACUGGUCUUCAAGGAUUUAGAUAGUAAAAUGAGACAAUUUAAAGGAAGGAUACAUCUCUGAUCUUCCCGAGCAUGUGACUUUGAAUGCUCGUCAGAACAAUCUCGAAGACUUAACGAGGAUUUGGAAAUAGGGGGACUCAGAUACCAGAGUUUUCUUCACUGAAAAGUACGGGGAUAUAGCUCACUUGAUAGCAAUCAAUAUGAACGAGCAGUUGAUUCAAGCCAUGGUUCGAUUCUGGGACCCAGCCUAUCAGUGUUUCACUUUCAAUCAGGAAGAUAUGACUCCGACCAUAGAAGAGUAUGCCGCCCUGCUCCGCAUUGACAAUGUGCAACUCAACAAGAUAUAUGUGAAGGAGCCUAAACCAAUGACCUUCAAGAAAAAGUUAAUGAAGCUGACGGGGAUGGCUGAUACAUGGGUUGAGAAACAAAUAAAGAAGAAGAAUGAAGUCAGUUGUGUUUCGUGGUUCUCUCUUCGGUAGUUAGUUCAGAAUAAUCCAGAUAUUUCGAAGAGAAUGGAUCUGUUUUCCUUGGCCGUUUAUGGACUGAUCGUCUUCCCAAAGGUUCUUGGGCAUAUUGAAGUGGCGGUAGUGGAUUUCUUCGAAAAGUUAAGGUAUGGAAUCAAUCCCAUCCCAACCAUCUUGGCCAAGACUUAUAGAUCUCUAAAUAAUUGUAGGAAGAAAGGGGAAUGACGUUUUAUCGGAUGCGCUCAGUUACUUAAUGUUUGGAUUUUUAGUCACUUUUGGAAAGUGGAGCGCACACCUUUCCAUAUGUUUUUAAAAACAUUCGCUCCUUUAGAAGCACACAUUAAAAAAGAUUGGCCAAAUGAUGUCACUGAACAGCAUUGGGUCUCGAUUUUUCAGAACCUUCGUGCUGAAGAUGUAACUUGGAGAGCACCUUAGAUUUGUCCUUCUGUUUUGUUAUACAAGUGUGGAAACCUAGACUGGGUACCUUUGCUAGGAUUGUGGGGAGGAGUUGGAUAUGCUCCAUUAAUGGUUCAAAGACAGUUCGUUUCGUAAUAGUUUGUACCGGUUACUGAUGGAUUGGCACAUUCAGAGUUUGCCUUUACGGGUGAGGGUUACUUGAAAAGGGUUCGAAAUACUACGAAUUCUUGGAAGAGAAUAUACCUAAUGGAAUUGGCUCUCUAUGCUGAUACUCUCACUGUAGAUUAUGAUAUAUGAAGGCAACGACGAGUGAAGAGUCAAUUGACCCCGUUGAUUGAUGAUGCUUGCUGGAAUCCAUUCUCAGAGGAAAUGCCUUCCGAGCUGGAAAUAACAAGACUUGAAUUUGAAUAUGAAAAAGCCAAACUAUUACGAGAUAUUAGUUCUCUUCAAGAGGAGAACUACCAGCUAAAGAUUGAUGUUGAAAUUGAAAAAUCCAGAGCUGAGAAAGUCCAAAAAGAAGUUGAGGUCAUGAGAAAAGAUUUAAGAGGCCUUCAUUUGGAAAAUAAGAAAUCAAGAGGCACUAUAAAGAAUAGUGGAUUGGGCAAAUCAUCGGCAGAAUGGAUGGAAGAAUUAAGCAAUAUUAAAGGUGGGAUGGAAUUCUAGAAAGCAAAAUCGAAGGAGGAGGAGGAAAGACCUGCACAUGCUACGAUAGAGUUAAGUAAGAAGAAUGCUGAAUACGAAGUUGUGUUUGCAGAAUUAACCGCUAGUCAGUCUGAGCAUCAAGAGCUAAAAGGGAAAAUCCAAAGUCUAGAAAGUGCACUGCAAGCUCAUCAGCACCAUUUGGACGACCUCCUAAGAGCUCUAGAAGAUAAGAGUGAUCAGCAUGACAGAGACAUUCGUGCCUACAAAAGAGCGUUCCAAGAAAAGGAUAUGCAUCUCGGCAGCUUGAUCAAUGAAAUUCGCAAAGCUGUUUUGGAAAUUAUGCAAUUAUCAGAUGAAGCCGAAGCUCUCAGUUGCCAAUUCCUUCUGAGCCAAAGAUCAAGUAUGUCGGAGUUCAUAGAACUAGUGAAGAAACAAGGCGAUAUGACUUGGAAAUUUAUGUAACUGUUAAAUCUGAAAUGACAAAACAUUUUGUAAUAGACUCCUUUGAUUAAUGAAAUGCCUAAGUAUGGGACUAUCUUGAAAUCAACACCAAAUUCUUGCAUAUUUAUUCAUACUAACAUUCAUUUGUCAUUUAUUCAUUCAUCCAUUCAUUACAUGUACAUAUCACUAUAAUCAUUCACUGAGGCUAAAAUCGUAUAAUCCACAGUUGCAACACAAGUCUGGAAUCACGUCAUCCUUACAGGACACGUCUAAGAACUAGAACUAUGGAUGCUGAACUUAAUGAAAGAAUCGAAAGGAUGGAAAGGAUUCAAAGAGAGUUACAAGAACAAUUGGCCAAGUAACAACAAGAGGUGAGAGAUAUGAUGGUGAGAUUUCAUGAAGAAUCACUUGAGCAAAGAGAUCAAAUGGCCAAAAUGAUAGAAAUGAUGACAGCUUUGGUCAAAGGACAGAGACCCAUUGAGAGCCCCGAUAUCGUAGAGCCCCAGUCAAGAGCUAAUCAAGAUCCACCUUAUCUCCCGAGAUUCACUCCACCUCAUGUCCAUGCAAUGCAAAGAUGAUAUCCCCAAAGGGAACCUACAAUUCUAGAAAAACAUCCUGCACCAUCUGCUCACAUAGGGCAAGGGAUGUUCGUGUUGAAUCCCGGAGCUAAUCUUACAGAUCCAAUUGUUCCAGAUCUGGACGAUUCGAUAGAAAUAGCAAGGUUGAAGGUUGACGAUCAUGAUACUCAAGAUAGGUAUAGAAUUCUGGAAGAAAGGCUCAAGGCAAUUGAAGGUACUGAAGUCUUCUCUGCAUUGAGUGCUGAAGAGCUCAAUUUAGUACCUGAUCUGGUCCUACCCCCGAAAUUUAAGGUGCUAAAGUUUGAAAAAUAUGAUGGAACGAGAAGUCCAAAGACACAUCUUAUCAUUUUUUGUCGAAAGUGAAUGAGGACAAAUUAUUGAUACACUGUUUUCAGGACAGUUUGGUUGGAUCGGCUCUUCGGUGGUAUAAUUAGCUUAGUAGAGAAAAAAUUCGAUCACGGAAGUACUUAGCAUCAGCGUUUUGCGAGCAAUACAAGCAUGUAUCAGAUAUGGUACCUGAUCGACUAACCUUGCAGAUGAUGGAAAAAAGCCCACGGAGACUUUUAAACAAUAUGUGCAAAGAUGGAGGGGUGUUUCAGCUCAAGUGGAACCUCCGUUGACUAUAACGGAGAUAACAAUCCUCUUCAUCAAUACUCUGAAGGUGCCGUUUUAUGAUAAGUUAGUAGGAAGCGCCACGAAAGACUUUACAAACAUUGUAAUAUCUGGGGAGCUUAUAGAGAACGCCAUCAAGAGUGGGAGGAUGGAAGGCCCUGAAAGUUCACAAAGGGCAGUACCCGCAAGAAAAAAGGAGGCAGAAACCCAUAUGGUUGCAAAUGCAGGCCACCAUACUUCCAACCCUUACUCAUCCCAACCACGACCUCAUUACUGCCCAUCUUCAAACUUCUACUUUCCUCCUCAAGGUCCUUACUAUCCAACACCUUCUCCUUAUCCUGUAUAUGCCAUGAAUAAUCAAAGACCGUUCGCCAUGUUUCCACCAAACACCAUGCUCACACAAAUCCAACCUAAAAAUAACCAAAGACCAGCAAAACCUAGUUCUGAAAAAUAUCAGUUCACCCAAAUUCCUGUGCCAUAUGGAGAAUUAUACCCGAAACUGUUGGAGAAGCAAUUAAUAUCCCCACAUUACAUGGCACCCCUGAAGCCCCCAUAUCCGAAAUGGUAUGAUCCUAACGCUAGUUGUAUGUAUCAUGCUGGAAAUCAAGGGCAUUCUACAGAAAAUUGUCUUGCCUUCAAAAGGAGAGUUCAAGACCUUGUUGAUGCGGGCAUUCUGCGAUUUGAUGGUGUUAGUAAUGUGGCUGAAAAUCCUCUUCCUAAACAUACUGAUGGAAAUGUGAAUGCGAUGACAAAUGAAGACGGGAGGCGAGCCAAAAGCUGUGUUGCUAAAGUAAAAACGCCUUUGUGAAAUGUAUGGAAGAUGAUGGUUAAAAAGGGUUUGCUCUGUUCUCAAAACAGAAUUGUCAAAGAAGAAAACAUAAUAGGUCCAAUUUUUUGCGACUUCUAUGGCACUGGUGAGCAUGACAUCCAAUCUUGUAAGGGAUUUCGAAAACUACUUCAAGACAUAAUGGAUAAAAAGGAAGUCAAGAUUUUUGAUAGAAUAGAGGAGGCUGAUGAAGGAAAAAUAUGCGUCUCUGAUGAUCAACCAUCAACUAUCCCUUACAGCGCUGAUCGACCUUUGGUGAUUUAUUACGAGGCGAAGAAGGAAGAAGUCAAACUAAAUGUGAUAAUUGAGGUGCCAUUUCCUUUCCCUUACAAGGACAGUAAGGCAGUACCAUGGAGAUAUGAUGUCAAUAUUGUUGUACCCGAAGGUGAAAAGUCAAAGGCUACGGCUAAAAGUGUUAGUGGGGUGGGACACUUUACUUGUAGCGGUAGAUGUUAUUCUCCUGAAAUAGUUGAACCAAAGAAGAAAGCCAUUGACUCGAAUCAAAAAGGAAAAGCACCGUUGCAAGAGGAUGAGAUCGAUGUUGAAAUACCAUCUGAACAGGAAGUUAAGAGACCUAUGAAUGAGGAAGAAGCACAUAAAUUCUUGAAGUUCAUCAAUCACAGUGAAUAUAGUGUUGUGAAGCAAUUAAAUAAGCAGCCAGUGCGAAUCUCGGUAUUAUCUCUACUGUUAAACUCAGAGCCACAUCGAAAUGCCUUACUGAAAGUGUUAAACCAAGCUUAUGUGGCAAGCAAUGUAUCUGUAAAAAAGCUUGACAGGUGGAUAAAUAAUCUGAAUGCGGAUAAUUUCAUCUCUUUCAAUGAUGAUGAGAUACCAUCAAAUGUUAGGGGCUCUGUUAAAGCACUGCACAUUACAACCAGUUGCAAGGGUUACAUAGUACCGAAUGUGCUCAUCGAUAACGGGUCCGCACUAAAUGUCAUGCCUUUGGUCACACUUUCUAGGAUGUCAGUUGAUAUGUCUUAUCUAAAGCCUUGUCAUUCCACAGUAAGGGCAUUUGACAAGACACGACGACACGUUAUGGGAAAGAUCCAAAUUCCUCUAGAGGUGGGCCCAUAUGUAUAUGAUAUCGAAUUUUAAGUCACGGAUAUCACGCCUUUAUACAAUUGCCUUUUAGAGAGGCCUUGGAUUCAUUCUGCUGGGGCAGUUCUUUCAUCUCUCCAUCAAAAAAUGAAGUUUAUCAUGGAUAAUCGUUUGAUUACUGUCGCUGGUGAGGAAGACAUUGUCGCAUCUAUUUCUGUUGAUACACCAUACAUUGAAGUAAGCAAGGAUGCCAAAGAAUGUUCCUUUCAUUCCUUUGAAUUCAUCAAUGCCACAUUCAUCACCGAAGGAAACAAGUUCCCACACCCAAGUUGUCAAAGAAUACCAAUAUGGGAAUUAAGUUGACUGUGGGAAAAGAAGCUCGAGCGAGGAAAGGUUUGGGAAAAUAUCAGUAAUGGAUAGUUAGAGUAUUGAAACUGAUACACCACAAGUCUCGAUGCAGUCUGGGGUUGGAGCCAGAUAUAAGUCAAAAAAGAAAGUAAUUAUAGAAAAAUCGAGAAAGAAGAAUCGCAAGAGCCUUAGGUCGAGAAUUUGAAUGGGAGCCGAUAUCGUAUCCUCCCUUAUCAGAAACAUUUAUAUCGACAGGGGUGAUGUACCCAGGGCAAGACAAUCCACAAAUCACAUUAUUGAUUGAAAAGAGUCUUCAGAAUAUCAGUAUAAAUGUGGUUGACAGCGAGGGUGAUGCAAUUGAGGAUGUUUCAAUGAUACGCCCAUGUCCUACAGGAUAUGCUUUAAACAAUUGGACUGCUGUGGACCUUCUUGUAAUUUCUAAGUCCUCUCCAGAGUAAUGCCCAAUGUUAAUUCUCCAGAGUAGUGCCCCUAAAUAGUGGGAUUCCUUUUGUAAGAGCUUAUAUUUGCUCUUUAUCAUUUCAAUGAAAAUUAAUGAAGAUGCAUUUUGUCAUGAUCUUUUCAUUUCCAUCAGUUUCAUAAUUACCCCAUCACUUCAUAUCCUUUCUCUCCGUGUAUUUCAUAUUAUUUCAUAACAUUGUGUAUAUUGAUUCCAAUACUUUGAUGCUCCUCUAUAGUUUUCUUUCCCGUUCACCUUUCAGGUGCUCAGAUAUUCAUAGCAUGAACAAUCCCGUUACAAGCCCUGAAAUUGAUUUCGAGAAAGCUGUUUGUUUAGGAGAAUUCGAAGCCAAAGAAAGUGCUGUAGAUUGUGUCCCGUCUCCUUACUUAUUGAGAAUGGUAGAACAAGAAGAGAAACAGAUUCUACCCCAUCAAGAAUCUGUUGAGACAGUGAAGUUGGGAAAUGAAGAAAAGAAACAAGAAGUGAAGAUUGGAACUUCCAUUUCAGAAAACACCAAACAUAAUUUGAUCGUCUUACUCCGUCAGUACAAAGAUGUAUUUGCCUGGUCUUAUCAGGACAUGCCAGGGUUGGAUGAGGAUGUAGUGGUCCAUAGGCUCCCAUUGAAACCAGAAUACAAACCCGUUCAGCAAAAGCUAAGAAGAAUGGGACCUGGAAUGCUGUUAAAGAUAAAAGAAGAAGUCAAGAAACAAAUUGAUGAUGGGUUCCUACAAGUCUCUAAAUAUCCAGAAUGGGUAGCUAAUAUAGUCCCGAUAUCGAAGAAAGACGGUAAGGUACGAAUGUGUGUUGAUUAUCGUGAUCUUAAUCGAGCAGGCCCUAAAGAUAAUUUUCCUUUGCCACACAUUGAUACAUUGGUAGAUAACAUGGCAAAAACAUUCAUUGUUUUCUUUCAUGGAUGGUUUCUCGGGUUACAAUCAGAUAAAUGUGGCCCUCGAAGAUAUGGAGAAAACCACAUUCAUGACAAUAUGGAGAACGUUUUAUUACAAAAUGAUGCCAUUCGGAUUGAAGAAUGCUGGGGCAACGUAUCAGAGAGCCAUGGUGAUGUUGUUCCAUGAUAUGAUGUACAAAGAAAUAGAAGUCUAUGUCGAUGAUAUGAUUACCAAAUCUCAGGGAGAAGAAGAGCAUGUUGGGAACGUCAGGAAGCUGUUCGAAAGAUUAAGAAAGUUCCAAUUGAAGCUUAACCCAGCCAAAUGUACGUUUGGGGCUACCUCGGGAAAACUACUAGGUUUUAUUAUCAGCGAGAGAGGUAUUGAGGUCGAUCUAGAUAAGAUAAAGGCCAUACAAGAACUACCACUUCUGCGUACGUAAAAAGAAGUCAGAGGAUUUUUAGGAAGGUUGAAUUACAUUGCUCGAUUCAUUGCUCAACUUACCAACCAGUGUGAUCCAAUUUUUCGACUCCUUCGAAAGCAUAAUUCGGGAUAAUGGAAUGAGGAGUGCCACAUGGCCUUCGACAAGAUAAAACAGUAUCUGUCUAAUCCUCCGGUGCUGGUACUGCCAAUCCCUGGAAAACCCUUAAUAUUGUAUCUGACUGUGUUCAAAAACUCAGUGGGUUGCGAUUGGGGUAGCAUGAUGAGUCAGGGAAAAGAGAAAAAGCGAUUUACUACAUCAGAAAAAAGUUCACAAAAUAUGAGGCAAAGUACCCAUCAAUUGAAAAAUUCUGUUGUGCAUUAGUCUGGGUAGUUCGAAGGCUCAGACAAUACAUGUUGUAUCAUACAACAUUGUUAAUUUCAAAGGUAGAUCCAUUAAAGUACUUGAUGGAAUCACCCACACUCUCAGGGAGAAUGGCACGAUGGCAGAUCCUAUUGUCUAAAUAUGACAUUGUGUAUGUGAGCCAAAAGUCGAUAAAGGGAAGUGCGAUAGCUGACUUCUUGGCAAGUCGAGCAAUGGAAGAAUAUGAGCCACUGAGAUUUGAUUUUCCAGAUGAAGACUUGAUAUGCAUUUCCGAAUGUGAAUCAUCAAAAGAUCAAUCAUAGAAGAUGAGUUUUGAUGGGGCAUCGAACGCAUUAGGGCACGGGAUAGGAGCAGUAUUAGUGUCACCAGAAGGAAACCAUUACCCGUUUACUGCCAGAUUGAAUUUCUUCUGUACUAAUAACAUAGCAGAAUAUGAAGCUUGCAUCAUGGGACUUCGUGCUUCUAUUGAAUAGAAAAUAGAAAUCUUAGAGGUGUAUGGGGACUUAGCGUUAGUGGUUUAUCAAAUUCGCGGAGAUUGGGAAGUGAGAGAUUCAAAAUUAGUCAAUUAUCGUGAUCUCGUGGCGGAAUUGAUCAAAGAAUUCAAAGAAGUGACUUUUCAUUACUUCCCACGAGAAGAAAACCAAUUGGCUAAUGCCCUGGCCACAUUGGCUUCAAUGUUCAAAGCAAACAGAGAAACUGAAAUAAUACAUCUUCAAAUAAGCAUAUAUGAGGUCCUCGCACAUUGUUUUAGCAUUGAGAAGGAGACUACCGUGGUUUCAUGACAUCUUGGAAUAUAUUAAGAAUCAAAGGUAUCCCGAGCAAGCAAACGAGAAUGACAAAAGAACAAUCAGAAGAAUGGCAGCUGGUUUUGUUCUUAAUGGGGAUAUCAUAGACAAAAGAGGAAAGGAUCAAAUGCUCUUGAGAUGCGUGGACAAUGUUGAAGCCAAAAGAAUACUUGAAGAUGUCCACGAAGGAAUUUGUGGAACGCAUGCCAAUGGGUUUACUAUGGCCAGGAAGAUUAUGAGACUUGGUUAUUUUUGGCUGACAAUGGAAAGCGAUUGCAUUAGCUACGCACGAAAGUGCCACAAGUGUCAAAUUUACGGUAAUAAAAUUCAUGCAGCUCCUUUGCCCUUUCAUGUCAUGACUUCUCUGUGGCCUUUUUCUAUGUGGGGCAUGGAUGUUAUAGGGCUAAUUUCCCCGAAGGCUUCCAAUGGGCAUCAAUUUAUUUUUGUGGUUAUAGAUUACUUUAUAAAAUGGGUGGAAGCCACUUCAUUUGCUAAUAUGACAAAGACCGCGAUCUGUAGGUUCCUAAAAAAGGAGAUCAUAUGUCGAUAUGAUUUGCCUAAGAGAAUCAUUGCAGAUAAUGCUUUGAACCUGAACAACAAAAUGAUGAAAAAAGUGUGUGAGCAAUUCCGGAUAAAGCAUCAUAAUUCCUCACCUUAUCGCCCGAAAAUGAACGGAGCUGUUGAGGAGGCCAACAAAAACAUUAAGAGGAUUAUCGGGAAGAUGACUGAGAUAUAUAAAGAUUGGCACGAAAAACUACCAUUCGCUUUGUAUGCAUACCACACCUCUGUAUGGACAUCUACGAGAGCAACUCCUUUCUCCCUGGACUACGGGAUGGAAGCUGUUUUGCCUAUUGAAGUAGAGAUCCCAUCCCUGCGAGUCCUGAUGGAGUCAAAACUAGAAGAAUCAGAAUGGGUUCGAGCUCGAUAUGACCAGCUAAACCUUAUUGAAGGAAAACACUUGAAGGCAAUUUGUCACGGACAGAUGUACCAAAAGAGAAUGAUCAAGACCCAUGAUAAAAAUGUGCGGCCAAGAGAAUUCCGCGAAGGGGAACUUGUACUAAGAAAAAUCCUCUCGAUACAAAAAGACUUACGAUGAAAAUGGUCACCAAAUUGGGAAGGACCAUACGUUGUAAAAAAGACAUUCUCGGGAGGGGCUCUGAUUCUCAUUGAAAUGGAUGGGAAAGAAUUACCUAAUCCAGUGAACUUAGAUGCUGUGAAGAAAUAUUAUGCCUAAAAAAAGAGGAAAAAAUCAAGAUGAAAACCCGAAAAGGGCGUCUUGAUAAACAAAAAGGAUUAGGAUGAAAACCUGAAAGGGCGUCCUAAUGAAGCAGGUUCGACCUUAAGAAGCAAGACGACUUGAACGGGGAGUCGAAUGGCGAGAUUACAAUAUUUGAAGCAUUCUCAGAAGCUCGAAAUCUUCUACAUAGGAAGCCAAGCUCGAAAAGAUCAUUCGCGAAGAAACGUGGAGAAGUUCAUGCGUUGGAUAUCUACAUCCUUUGUGGCCAUUGAAUUUGCUUUCCUUUCUUUAUGAUGCUUUCUUUAUUUAAAUUACUCUUUGUUAAUUUUCUUUGUUUGUUGUUUUUGAAAAGAAUAUGAAUGCGAGGUAUUUCUUUCAUGCAUACUGUGCCAUUGUCAAGCAUCUCAUGGUUUGGUUCGUUUAAAUGAUAAAUAGUAAAAUGACAUACUCUAAAACAAAAAAAAAUGUUGAGCAUUACCUGGAUGAGAAUUUGAUAAAUACAAGGACCUUGAAGCAAGAACAAAGUUCAACAAGGGGCCAGGAAGGUGGUAUAUGAAAAUGUGGGUUACUCACAGAACUUGAGGAUGAGUACAAAACUGGAGAGAAAAGUCAAGAAUUGAGGAAAUGAAUGCGGACCCUCAUGAAAAUCAAAAGUGGGGCACGUGACAAACAGCCCAGGGUGCAUGGCAUGAUCAUGUAGACACAAAAGCUUUUAAAACAAACACGUGUAUAUCAUAAUAACAUCAUACAUGACAUAUACAGGUAUACCAGUAGAGCAAGGAAUACUAGGAGAAAGCUGCAUAGAAUCAAUGAAGAAGAAGGCUUUUAGUUUCACUUGAUGUUUUUUGAAACCCUGUUUCUUUCAAGAAAUAUUUUUCAAUUUCUGUUUUUUUUUUCAAAAAUCAACUCAUAUUGCGAGAGGUGAGUUGAGCCUCGGGUCACAUACCGAGGUAUUUUUUUAAAUUUCUGUUUUUCAAAAAUCAACUCAUAUUGAGAGAGGUGAGUUGAGCCUCGAACACAUGCCGAGGUAUUUUUUUUAAUUUCUUUUUUUCAAAAAAAACUCAACUCAUAUUGCGAGAAGUGAGUUGAGCCUCGGACAUAUACCGAGGUAUUUUUUUAAAUUUCUGUUUUUCAAAAAUCAACUCAUAUUGCGAGAGGUGAGUUGAGCCUCAGGUCACACGCUGAGGUAUUUUUUAAAUUUCUGUUUUUUUCAAAAAAUCAACUCAUAUUGCGAGAGGUGAGUUGAGCCUCGGACACAUGCCGAUAUAUUUCUUUUAAAUUUCUAUUUUUCAAAAAUCAACUCAUAUUGCGAGAGGUGAGCUGAGCCUCAGGUCACAUGCUGAGGUAUUUUUUUAAAUUUAUGUUUUUUGCAAAAAUCAACUCAUAUUGCGAGAGGCGAGUUGAGCCUCGGACACAUGCCAAGGUAUUCUUUUAAUUUCUGUUUUUCAAAAAAAAAUCAACUCAUAUUGCGAGUGGUGAGUUGAGCCUCAGGUCACAUGCUGAGGUAUUUUUUUUAAAUUUCUGUUUUUUUCAAAAAAUGAACUCAUAUUGCGAGAGGUGAGUUGAGCCUCGGACACAUGCCGAGGUAUUUCUUUUAAAUUUCCGUUUUUCAAAAAAAAUCAACUCAUAUUGCGAGAGGUGAGUUGAGCCUCAGGUCACACGACGAGGUAUUUUUUAAUUUCUUUUUUUUUUUCAAAAUCAACUCAUAUUGCGAGAGGUGAGUUGAGCCUCAAGUCACAAGCCGAGGUAUUUUUCAAUUUCUAUUUUUCAAAAAAAAAAAGGAAUCGCACGCAGAGCUUUUCUCGAUUUCUAUUUUUUAAAUAAAAAUAAAAUUUUGGAUAGUCGAACAAAAUUCAAUGCUUUUAAGUCUUUGCUCUAUCCCUGUUUCACAGUGAUGAGCAAAGAGGGGCAGCUGUAAGCACUAAAUUUUCUCCGGGUUUUGUCGUGUUUAAUUUUUUUUAAAAAUUCAAAAAAUAAAAAAAAUAAAAUAUUAUAUUUUGACCCUUAAACUUCUUGAAAUCACAUUUUGACCCCUAAUUUUUUCUAAAAUUAUAUUUUGACCCUUAAAAUUUUUGAAAUUACAUUUUGACCCAUAAACUUUUCAAAAUUACAUUUUGACUCCUAAAUUUUCUCAAAAUUAUAUUUUGGCCCCAGAAGUUUUGCUGCGUUUGCAAUCUGGUCCUUCUGGCAGCCAAACUUGAUUUGCGCACCUAAUCCCCACGAUUUUCGGCCACCGGCCUAGGGUAUGGCCUCCCUUCUCCCUAGCAACCUGCCACCUACAAAAAGAAGCAAAGAAAUCACUAUAAAAUGGGUUUAAAACCCCAAAAUCAAGACCCCCCCACAAAACGAAAAAGAAAAAAAAGAGAGCUUUUUCGAAAAAAGAGAAGAGAAAAGAAAGAAAAGAAAAAGAAAAAAAGAGGAGAAGAGAAGAGCCUUCGACGUCGGCCCAACGGUAGAGACGACGGCAGCGGCGGCGUGAAAGAGGCGGCAGGGCAAGCUAAGGUUUUGAAAAAGAAGAAGGAAGAUGAAGAAAAAGAAGAAGAAUGGAAAAAAAAGGAAAAGAAAAAGAGAAAAAAAAUAAUUUUUUUUAAAAUAGUCAGGUCGAUUGACCCAACUCGGAUCCAACCCGCACCUGACCUGAGCAGCCCACCAGAACCGCAACCCCCAAAAAAAAUACAGCAGCAAAAAAAAAAACAACUCCCAUAGCAGGCCUAGCAGGCCAGCCCAAGCGCAGGCCCAACCCAGCGCCAGGCCCAACAGCAGGCCAGCAGACCCAUCCCAGCAUCAGCAGGCCCCCAGGCCCGUUCCAACAGCAGGCCCAACAGCUAGCCCAGCCCAGUCCAGAAUAAAGGAAGGAAAAAAAGGAAAAAAGAAAGAAAAAAAGAAAAAAAAAGAGAAAAGAUGAAAGAAAAAAAGAAAAAAGGAAAAAAGGUCGUGUAUUCCGUUCAUCAAGCUCGUAUUUUCGAGUUUUUGGUAAUUUUCUUUUUUACUCACUUUUAAUUUAAUUUACGUAUUUUUAUGACAUUUCAUCUUUAAUAUUCUUGGUUUUUUUUAGCAUUUUUUAUACUUCGUAUUUAAUUUUAUUAUUUUUAAUUUUCAUAAAUAAGGCGACGAACCGAUUUAACAUUAAGUCGUAUAUUUUCAUCGCUAUGUUCGGUGUAUAUAUUUGGUUCGUGUUAAAUUUGGGACGCCCUUUUAAAAAAAUGAAAAACUUAAAAAUUCUCGUGUUUUGAAAUAAAAUAUGUAUUUUUGUAAUUAUCAGUAAAUUUAUCAAAAUUUUGUCUUUAAAAAUGUAUAUAGUACGAUAACAUGUAAUUUAUCAAAACUUUCGAGUUUUUAAAAAAAUUCGUGUUUUCGUAUUUUCAACAAAUUCUCGUGUUUUAAAAAAAAAUUCUUGUGUUUCAAUCGGAUCACGAUUAAAUAUUAAAUUGAACUCGUAUUUUUGAAAAUUAAGACAACACGCACUUAACGAGAUACCAAUUUUGGGCGUCGCUAGGGUGCUAAUACCUUCCUCGCGCGUAACCGACUCCCGAACUAUAAUUUUCUCUGGAUUUUUUAACGUGGAUCUAAAAUUGACUCUUUUAAAGAAAAUUUCAAAAAAUUAUCUUUUAAAAAGAGAAUUUAAUAGGUGACCGAUCACACCUAGAAAAAAAAAGAUCGGUGGCGACUCCCUUUUUUUAAAUAAAAUCGAGACUCUGCUUUUAAAUUUUCCAUAAUCACUUUGACUAGCGCCCGAGCAAAAAUUUUUAGGUCGCUACAAAUUUCUUAAUAUUUAAAAUAAUAUUUUUUAUUUACUCCAAAAUUAUAUAUCGUACCAAACCUUCCUUUCGAAACAAUACAAAAAAUUAUGAUAGAAUACAAAUCAAUAUGAGAAAAUACAAAAAAUAUAAGGAAGUACCAAAAUUAUGAGAAAGUACCAAAACUUAGAUGUAUAAAAGAUUAUGAAAGAAAACCAAAAAAAAAUAUGAGGAAGUACCAAAAAAUUAUGAUCGGAUACCAAAAGUUAUGAGGGAUACCAAAAAAUAUGAGGAUGUAAAUAUAUGAGGAUACAUAAAAAAUUAUGAGGGAAUAUUAAGAAAUAUUAAAAAGUACCAAAACUUACGAGAGAAUUCCAUAAAACAUGAGGAAGUAUAAAACAAUGAGGAUGUACCAAUAAAUUUGAGAAAGUACAAAAAAAAAAUAUGAGGAUGUAAAAAUAUGAUGAUGUAACAAAAAUAUGAGAGAAUACAAAACAAAAAAAAAAAAAAACACGAGGGAAUACUAAAAAUAUGAAGAAGUACUAAAUAUUAUGAGAGAAUAUUAUAAAACCUGAGGAAGUACCAAAAAAUGAGAAAGAACAAAAAAUUAUGAGAGGAUACAAAAAAAAAAAUGAAAAUGUACAAAAAAUUAUGAGGAAGUAUAAAAAAUUAUAAGAGAAUACCAAAUAACAUAAGAAGAUACCAAAAAUUGUGGGGAUACCAAUUUUUGAUUUGUCUCAAUAAUUUUUUUUCAUUUAUUUAAAUUUUUUUUAAUUAUCAUGAAAUAUAAUUUUUUUCUCCGUACCAAUGUUAGCAUUAAAAAUUAUAAUUUAACAAUUACAUUUUUUUUGCUACAAAGUCUCAAUGAAAUUUCUUAAUAUUUAAAAAUAAAUUUUUAUUUACUCUAAAAUUAUAUCUCAUAUCAAACCUCUUUUCAAAACAAUACCAAAAAUUACGAGGAAUUACCAAAAAAUCGGAGGGAAUACUAAUAACUACAAGUAUAUACCAAUUAUUAUGAGAAAAUAUCAGAAAUUAUGAUAUACCAUUUAUGAACUUGUAGCUUAUUCAAUAGGUAGCUAAGAAGCUCACAAUAGAACCUCCGUAAUUCACAAAGGGGACAUGUAAUAUCUCAUUUUUUAGUGAUACCGAAAAUAGUGAUUUUGGGACUACAAUUUCAAUGUGUCAAUCUAUAAAUAUUAAAUAAUUAAUAGUAUUUACGAAGUCAUCAAGGUUGUUAAAUUCUGGUGAAGAAAUUUUAAUGUUUAGUUGAUUAAUUGGGUAAAAAGGAUUAAAUUGUGAUGGAUGCAAAACUUGAUGUUUAAUUAAUUAAAGGGAUUUUAUGGAUUAUAAGUCAAAAGAGUUGGGUCUAUGAAGUAAUUAGACCAUAGUGGAUAUUGAUGGACGAUUAAGGACUUUUAAGAUGUUAAAUGGUAUGUUUAUUUAGAAGGGUAAAAAUUGUAAUUAGUAUAGUAUAAUUAAACUAAGGAAUAAUAAAAACAAAAUUUCUAUCAUCUUCUAAAAGGGUUCUAAGAGGAAAAUCUCCAUUGUUGGGAGUUCUAAGUCCGGCCUUUAUAAAUCCCUUGCAUGUAAGCUUGGUUUAAAGCCGUUUCUUGUAAUUUUUUUUUAUUUUUAAAAUCGUCGUACCUUCGUUUUUGAAACUGUUAAAGUUUUUGAAUGUGACCAUUGAUGAACCCUUGUUGUUUAUGAUGUUAAAGUUUUAAUUUAAAAUAAUGGUUGUUGUUCAUGAGGAAAUUGUUAAAUAAUUUUUUAUGGUUUUUGAGCCAGAGCUAAUUUGUUAAAAUGUUAAAAGUUACAUGCUACUCUUGUGAAUAUUGAGUUAUUAUGAACGGUAUUGAUAUAGAUAGAUAUUCUGCCUGUUUGAGUAUUUAGCAAAUUUUACUGACUUGGAGAUUUUGAAAUUAAGGUCGAAUUGUAUAUGAUACUUAAUUAAAACCCUGAUAAACCUUAAAUCGUUUUUCAAAUCUUCACAUUAAUAAUAUUGUAAUUGGAUUGCUAAAUAAAAUCGAUUUAAUUAAUGAAUGUUUUUCUUAAAAAAGAAAAGAAAAGUGAUUUUCAUACAAAUCAACUAAAAUAAAAAAGAAUGGUUUUACAGUAUCACUUCGGUAAUCAAUGUAACGUCUUCAAUUUAGCCAAAACUUCUAGGUCGGGUCAAGGGUGUUACAUCUGGUAUUGCGAUAUCCAUGACAGUCUCAAAAUGGGAAGUUCCUUUGGAUGUUGGGUAUCGUGAUACCAUUAUAAGUGGUCUUCAUUCUCUUCAUUUCAGCACGUUCAGGGAUAUCACGACUUCCAUGCAUCGAUAUCGCAAUACCCCCUUCUCAGUGAUGUUCUUACUCACGUUCAGACCACUUUUGACUCUCUACAACACUCAACCAACCAUUAAAGUCCCUAUGACGCAAUUGGCCAACUUGGGUCUAAAAAAUGGGAUUAAAGCAUAUGUUAAACACUUACUAAAACACAUAACUAAAACUAAGUAAAAACUACGAAAAAGGCAUUCAAAUUACUCGAGAACAAGCUCAUUAAGUGUAAUGGAAUAUCUAAUUUGACGUAUCAAAUUACGACAAAUAAAAAAAAGUACAAAAAAAAAACUAUAAGGAAAUACCCAAAAAAUAUGUGAAAGUAUAAAAAGAUGAAAAUGUAUAAAAAAUUAUAAGGAAAUAUAAAAAAAUUGCAAGGGAAUGGGUGACACAGUGGGUGAAUGAUCUUAGUUGCCAACAUAAUGAAUUGGUGGAUUCCGUGAACAAAAAUAUGGUUACAGUAUGGCAAAUAUGAAAACACAGAAAUCAAGCAUGUUUUUCAGGUACCAAACCAAAUCCUACUAAAGUCUUAAAAUAUUUGAGCUAUUAUUGGUUGUCCGUAACUAUGGCAUAUCAAUUUGCUAACAAUUAAAAAUAAGUACUUAACAACAAGCCAUCGCUCGACAGUAAGUUGGUAAGUGAUGUCGAUCACACUCCCACGAUGAAUCCCCUCAUGAAGGUUAGGAAUAAUUGUAGCAUUGGACUUUGCUUCAUAGUCAAUCAUAAAACUGAUGGUAAAAAUAUUAUGGAGGUUCAUGUAUUAGGAAUUGAAAUGCAUUUUUCUUCCUCUACUCAGUUAAGGACAAGCUAAUCAUUGUACAUUAGAUUAAAUAGUAAAUUAGUUAUUUUUAUUAAAAAUUUCAUUCAUUUGUACUGUUAAAUAAAUUUUGAAAAUCGGGUAACUAAAAUAUAAGUUUAAAUAAAGUUGAGGGACUAAUGAUAUAGUUUAUAUUUUUUUCUUUACCAAAAGGGCUACUACUAGCUAAAGUAAAACCAAAUUACAGGACACCAUUUUGCAUACGAGAAACGCACAAAAUGACAUCCAGUAGCUGUUCCACUUUCCAGUUGAGGGUAUGGCAACCUCCAACCCAACAUCCAAGAGCGAUGAUAACUUUGCCAUAAAAUCAGCUACACGGUACACAUGGGAUAUGCUACCCUAAUACUGCGUAAAAGUGCCAAAUCUUCAUGUUAUUUAAUUCCAAAUUUUCUAGUUUGCCAACUCUAAAGAAAACAUAUUUGAUUAUAUUAAUAUUUUUUGAAAAUGAGAAUCUGUGAAAACUUUAAAAAAUAUGAAACCUUGUUUCUAUUAUUUUCACCAAAAAUACAAUUCAUAACAUUGGAAAAAUUGAAAAAUAAACUUUAAAUUUAAUUAAUAAAUUCACCCAAUUCAAAACCAUAUAAAGGUAAACAUAAUAUUUUUUUCAAUAAUUUUUAAAAUUUGAGUCCAUAUAAAUGUAAACAAUUUUAAUUAAAUUUCUCAUGUUUGUAUCAAAUAUGUUUUCAUAUUUUCAUUGUUGAAAACAUAUUUUAUUUUUUUUACUAUAUUUAUAAAAAAUAUUUUUUAUUAUUUUUUAAAAUAAAUAUAUUUUCUUUUUAUUUUUCAUCAUUCUAACUUUCCAACUAGACACUACGAAAAAAACAUUUUCUUAUCUUUCCACUCCUUUCCUUCAAUGUUUUCUUUCAAUCCUACGAAAAUUCUUAAUAUUAUUUUUAGAAUAGGAUCAAAUCAAUUCAUCAGACAGUAAUUAUUUAGAAUUUUAGUUUAAUAAGAGGGUUUAACUGAUUGAUUUAUAAAUUAGUACAGAAUAAUUUAUUCGACCAAAUUGAAUCAACCGAAAACCGAUAAUCUGACCUCUUCUCCACUAAUUAGAUUUUAAAAACUUUCAAUUUACUAAAGGAAAUGCUAAAAAAGAGAGAGUUUAUUUUAACCCUACAAUUUUUUACAAAUUGAUUAUAUUUUUUUCAUGCGGGUCAAGUAUGUGUAACAAAAUCAAAAGAUAAGGUUUGGUGAACUGAGUGAAUUGGUCACGAGUUAUUUCAGAAUCGUUAAAGCUCGUAUUUUUCAACAAUGAUUUGGCUUAGAACUCUCUACAUUUCCCUUAAUUAUGUCACAUUCAAUAGAUUUUGUUGUUUCUGUUGGAGAAAACAUGUUAGUAAAUAAAUAUAUAUAAAUAAUAUAAAAUAAAUAAUUAUUUAUAUUUAAGAAAUUGAUUAAAUAAAUAAGAUUAUGAAAAAACUAGAAAUCGAAUUUUACUAGAUGUUGAGGCUUGUUUUACACAGUUUCUCUAAGACAAAUUCGACCGCUUCUAUGGUACUUGGAGAAACAUUGGUUGGCUAUCUCUCAGGAUACAACAACAUGAUGAUCGAAGUAGUAGAGAACAAAAUAUUGAGAGGAAAAGAGAAGAAUUUUCAAGAGCAAAAUAAACUCGGUUUUAGAGAGUCUGUAAGUGUAAAAAUUCUGAAGAAUUCUUAGGCUUUUAUAGUCAUUUAAUACGGAGGAAUUAUGAAAAUAUUCAUAAAUAAAGAUACAAAAUAUGCAUUAAAGGAGCAAUUAAAUCAAUUUGAAUAAAAUAAAUUAGGAUUUAUGUCCUUUUAAAUUAGAUUUUUAUAUAUUUUUUGAAAAAAAUAAAUUUCGUGUUGGGCUAAAAUAUCCGCAGGCCCUAAGCCCGACCGGUCUGAACAUUUCAAAUGACCCACAUCGUGCGGGUGCGCCCUAACCCCGAUGGGUUUGGAUCUGCACCCCUUGCGCGCGAGGUAAAAUUUUAAACUUAGUCAUUCAAUCACCUUUCAAGUGGGUUCUCAAAUAUAUACACAUCUCACACUUGGUAUUUAACCAAUGUGAGUUCUAAGCUUUUCUUUUCCUCAACAAAUAUUCUCAAGUAGCUUACUUUGAACAUCAAUUUCUCAUUCAUCACUCAACCAUUUUGAGCAUAUAAUAUACCGUUGUAAAGGUCUAGUAGAGUAGAAUAUAAAAUCAUAAUUUUAUGAUUUAACUUUCCACCUUUAAUAAUUGAGAAUAUGCCUCAAAGUUUCUUACAAAUUUUCUAACAAUUUCUUUGUAGGAGGAAAAAAAGUUGAGUGUCAUGGUGUGUGGUGCAGCCCCUUAAACAGUUUAAAAGAUCGGAGUAGUGAAAUAUGAAUGAUAUUAGCAAAAAAUGUGUUGUUUUGCCUGCAGACAUGAUGCAACAUGGGAGGAAAUGGUAAUAUGAUCAUCACUAAUUGAUUGAAGAUGAAGCAUAAUCUACAUUUUUGGCUGACCAAGUCUUUGCUUUGACAAAUCAAGUUAGUAGUACAAAACAUAGAGAAAUUAACAACACAUCAUAAAUUAUGUGGUUUAGACUUUAGUCAAUUGUCAAAUCAAUUUUUCGUUAUAGAAGUAAAAAAGGGUUCAAUAAGAGACCAAAAGAAAGAAAAUGACAGUACAUUUUGGCUACUUACGGGAAAGGGCCAAGUACUUGAAAUCUCCCUCUUUUAUAGGUAGAGUUUUAAAUUACUUCUUAUAUUAGUUUAUUAAAUAAUUUAUUGUAAAAAAUAUUAUGCUAUUGUUUAAAUUUUAUUAACAUUAAAAAAUUAUUGCAUUAUUAAAUAUUUAAACAUUACUUUAAUAAGGUAAUAAUUAUUAACAUUACUUUAGAAAAUUACAAAUUAUAAAAGAAUAAUUAUUCGCAAACUAUUUUAAUUUUUGUUAGUAUUUUACGUUUUAAAAACUAUAAGAAUCAAUGCAGAAACAAGAUUAUAUAGUGAAAUAAUAUUUGAUUUUCUAAUAAUAAUUAAAUUAAAUUAAAUUAAUAAUUUUUCUUAUACAAUAUUUUAUUUAAAAUUAAAAAAUUAUAAUAUAUAAUAUUAUAAAAAUUAUAAUAUAUAAUAUUAUAAUAUAUAAUUUUUCUUUAUAAUAUAUAUUUUAAUGAAUAAAAAUUGAAUGCAGCUGUAAAUAAAUAUGCAAUUUUUUUAAUACAAAUCUAUUGUUUUUUAAUAACAAAUUAAAAAUCAUACUUCAACAUAUUUAGAAAUAUAUUUUAUCGCAAAUAAACAAAACAAAUAUAAAUACACAUUAAAUGUAAUUAGAUUAAAUAAACCACAAAUCAAAUACACGUAAUGGAAUUAAUAAUUAAAACUGUAUACAAUAAACAUUUAAAUUUAAACCUAAAAAAAUAAAAAUCGUCAAAUUGAAUGCAAUUAAAUGUAAAUCAGGAUCAAAUUGAAUAAAUUAAAACUGAAUUAGGGAUAAAACCACACAAACUAUGGACUACUAAGCACAAGAAAGAAGAAGAAAAUAUCCCGUUGCAUAAAAAAGACGCGAAUCCUAAAUCCUAAGCUCCCAACAUGUCAACACGCGGAGCCUUUUAUGGGCUAAAUAUAAAACAUUCUCUCUCCUUUUUAUUCAAACAAUAUUAAAAUAAAUCCUUUAAAGCCUUGAUUAUCUAAUUAAUGUAAUUAUUGAUCUGAAUUUUUUCAAACAUAUGAAACCUUUGAGAAACAAUCAUAAGGCUAAAAACAUCUUUACGGAAGGAGAGUCCAUAAGGGUUUAAGGUUUAAGGUUUAAGAUUUAGGAUACGUUUGGUUCACUGUUAUGAAAUAGGGCUGUAAUCAGUAAUUCUAUUGUUUGAUUGAAUGGAAUAAACAUUGUAAUAGUAUAAGUAAAAAUGCUUAAAUGACCAAAGUACAAUUAGCAGAAUUUUUUUAGGUAGAAGAUUAUUGUUAUUAAAUUUUAAUAAAAUUAUUAUUAAAUAUAUUUUAAUAAAAAAUAAUAAAUAAUUUAAUCAUAAUUUAACAUAAUUAUUAUUAAAUACAAUUUAAUAAAAUAAUAAAUAAUUUCAUAACAUUCUUAAUAUAAUUAUUAUUAUAUGAAUUAAAAAAUUAUAAUAUAUAAUAUUAUAAUAUAACCUACUUUAUUAUUUUUAAACUGCAAUACAUAUUUAAUGUGCUAAAAUAUUAUUAGUGCAACAAAUAAUUUAAUUAUUCUACAAUAAAAAAUAAAAUAUUAGAAGUAAUAAAUAGCUUGAGAAUUAUAUUUCACAUCCAAACAUAAUAUUCAUAUAUUAACAAAAAGUUACAUGAUUUCAUUAGCUUAUAUGUCAUAAUCCAUAUGUUAAAUUUUACAACAUAAAAAAGUUACAACAUUGUAAUGACAUUCUAUCAUGUCAUUAUACCAUCCAAAUAUUACAAACACAAAAAGUUACCAAAAUAUCACCAACACAACCAUGAUUUUUAAUGGUCAGCAAGAAAUCUUCUGACCCAUUCCAGUCGCACAGAAGAAGGUAAACUAAAGAAAAUGAGCAUUUCCGUUGGAUGGUCUGGAAUUUUGCUUAACGCGCGAAAGCGUUCAUUCUCAAUUAAACCUUCUACUUCACAUAAGGUUGGAUAUAAUUUUAGAGCAGUUUCUUGAAUGGUCAUUUUUUACUUUUGUUGAAUUAGCACUUCGGAGGCAAUACUCCUAUUGAUUUCAAGGCCAACGGUUCGUAUGUUUUCCGCCAAUAAAGUGGUAGCAUCAGUAAAUGAAGUAGAAGAAAUAUGAUCACUUGCAUCAGAAAUCUUUUUUUUUUCUUCUUUGAAAAUAUGGAAUCACCUUGGUUUCUAGGUAGUUGCGAUUGUGUAGCUGAAAGAUCCAUGUCAUCCAAAGAAACAUCAACUUCGCAUCCAUGGAAAUCAUUUCUUUCUUCAUGAGUAUUUGUAGUAUCUACAUCCUCAACAUCUAUUUCUUCAAUAAUAUUAGUUAUUGUUUGAGCAUCUUUCCUAGUGGCUCGAUCUUUUGCAUAGAUGGCAGUAAGUUGGUCAUAAUAAGGGAAACUACGAUGUUUGAAUUGACCGGCUUCUUUGUUACUUUAUAAAAAAUGAGGAAUCCAUAUUAGAUAUAAGUUUUGUCAAAACAAGAUAAUAAAGACUCGAAAUAAUUCUUACAUUUAUAUAUGAGUUCCACACAACAUCUUCAACAACAACAAUCUACCUAUGAUUGUCCCAACCAAAGCCACUAUUGUUUUUUUCACUAAGCAUGUCAUAAACGAUUGCCCAAUCCCUUUUCAAUGUCUUAAUCCUCAAUUCAAGAUUUGGUUUAGCCUUUAACAUAGCAUGGGUAAAACUUUUUCUAACAUUUUUUCUAGCUCAUGUAAAUAACUAGCUUUAAAUCUCGUAUUUGCAUUAAAGGUUCUAACAUUGUGCAAGUCGACCAUACAGGCAACCAACAUAUCAUCUUCUUCUGGAACCUAUUUCCUUUUGGUUCAUCAAGAAUUUUGGGAAUAAACACUUGAUUGUGUAAAACCUAACAUAAUUAUCUUAAGAAAAAACACAAAUUAAAAAUAAGUUCAAUAUUAUGAAUCAUAAGGUUGACACUUUAUAAAAUUAUAACACAUGAUAAAUCAAAAGAAAAUAAAUUAUAAUUCAACAAGUCUAGUACAAUACAAAAAAUAAUUCAAACACCACAAAAGUUCCAUAAACUAGAUACAUGAAAUAACAUAAACAAAUUAACGUUUACUAUUUUUACCCUAAACCUAACUAAUUUCUAGAUGCUUGCCAUUCAUUGAACAUUUGAUUGGCUAGUUCCAUCCUCCAAGUAUCCCAUGCAUCCGAUGGAUGAAUAUUUAUGAUAUUCGGUUCAUCGUCAUCUAUCACAUUACUAGGUAAUCCUGCUCCCAACUCCACUUUAAUAGGAUCAAAGUUCAUAUAGGUUCGAAUAAAAUUAUGGAGCAAAUAACAUGCAAUAAUGAUUCUAUUGUACACCCUCACAGGAUAGAAUGAUGGACUCCUAAGUAUUCCUUAUCUAAUUUUUAAUAACCCAAAGCAUCUUUCAAUAACAUUACGAGCUGAAGCAUGUUUCAUAUUGAAAAAUUCUUUCGGAGUACUUGGCUGGUAACCCUGACGCCACUUAUUCAAAUGAUAUCUUUGUCCUCUAAAAGGCGUAAGAAAUCCCUCAUAGUUUGUGUAUCCAACAUCAGCUAGAUAAUAACAACCUAUAAAAAAACUAUUUAUCAUGGUUAAUUUCCCAAAAAAGUAUGAUCUUUAAAAUUAAUUCAAAUUCCUCUAAUUUUGCACUUUACCAUGAAGAACUUUUAGUCCAUGUCACCUGUUAAUGGCAUCUCGAAGAACUCAUCCAUCAGCAACAGAACCUUCCCAACUAGGAAGAACUUAAACAAAAUGCAUAUCUGGUGUACAAACACCUAACAUAUUUGUGCUAUGUCACCUUUUUGCAUUCGAUAUCUAGGUCUAUCAACUGUAGGAACCCUAAUCUUGAUGUGGGUUCCAUCUAAAGCACUUAAGCAUUUCUACAUCACAUGUAUAAAACCUCGGGUUAGGAUACUAUAUUUAAAUCUAUAACGAUCUGGUAGUUAGGGUGUCAGAUAGUAAAGUCUGGGAUGCCAUUUUCGUAAAACGAACUCGUAAAUAUUUUUAUUUAAAUAUUUAUGAUGUUAGUUAGUAGUGAACUAGAUUUUGAUUAAGUGAAUUUUGAGAAAUUAAGAAUUAUUAAGGUAUAGGGACUAAAUCGCAUAAGAGUUAAAAAUUAAAUUAUAGGUUAAAAAUUAAUAGAGGGACUAAAGUAGUAAAUAUCCAAUUACCUAAGGUUAGUGGACGGCAUUAACAUGUAUGAUAUAUAUAUGUUAUUUUAUAAUAAAAGUAUAAUAAAAGAAAUAAUAAAAGUUAUAAUAAUAAAAAGAAAGUGGUAACAUGCAAAUUAAAGGUGUAGCGACCUAAAAAUUUGGGCACGGGCGCUAGUUGAAGUAAUCAUUGAAAAUUUGAAAACGGAUUUUGAUUUUAUUUAAAAAGGGAGUCGUCACCAAUCUUUUUUCUAGGUGUGAUCGGACACCUAAUAAAUUCUCUUUUUUAAAAGAAAAAUUAUUUUUUAAAUUUUCUAAAAAAGAGUCGAUUUUAGGUCCAAGUCAAAAUCUAGAGAAAAUUAGGGUUCGGGAGUCGGUUACGCGCGAGGAAGGUAUUAGCACCCUCGCGACGCCCAAAAUUAGUAUCUCGUUAAACGCGUGCUGAAAUGGCCUGCUGCUUGCGCCUGAGCUCUGGGCUUGGACAGGCCUUUUUUUUGCUACUGCUUUUGUUUUUUUACUGCUGCUGUUUUUUUGGGCUGAUCUGCUACUGUUGGGCCUGCUGGGCUGAUGGGUCGGGUGCGGGUUGUAUCGGGUCGGGUCAGUUUGGCCCUGCUGUUAAAAUUUUUAUUUUAUUUUUCCUUUUUCUUUCCAUUUCUUCUUUCUUCUUUCUUUCUUCUCUUUUUCUCCAUUUGCUUCUUCUCCUUCGGCAACCCCGACGUCACUCCCCCAGCCCGGUACGGCAGUAGACAACAGUUGUGGAGCUCUCCUCUCUAUCCUCCCUUAUUUUUUUUCUUUUCUUUCUUCUUUACUAUUUCUUUUUGCUUUUUCUUUUGCUUGCUGCUUUUUCUUUUGUUUAUGCUUACUUGGUUCUUGGCUUGGGUUAAGCGGUGGAGCAACGAUUGUGGUGGCGCGACGAUCGUGGUGGUGGUGGGGGAAAUCGGCUGGAUUUGAGAGCUCUUUUUUUGAAAUUUUUCUGCUGAUUUUUCUUUUCUUUUUUUUUCUUGGCUUCCCAUUUUGGGGGUUUUAAAACCCCUUUUCUCCUUUUUUGCAUGUUGUAGGUGGCUAGGGAGGGGUAGGCCGGCCGCCGCCUGUUGCAAGCGUAAGUUACGCUGGUUGCUGCAGAGGGACCAAAAUGUAAAUACAGUAAAAUUUUUGGGGUCAAAACGUAAUUUUGAGAAAUUUCAAGGGUCAAAAUGUAAUUUAGAAAAGUUUAGGGGUUGAAAUGUAAUUUUGAAAAUUUUAGGGGUUGAAAUGUAAUUUUGAAAGAGUUUAAGGGUCAAAAUGUAAUUUUAAAAAAAUUAGGGGUCAAAUUGCAAAUUUUUUAAUUAAUUAAAAAAACAAGAAAUUAUUCCCGGACAAAAUUCAGUGGUUACAGCUGCCCCUCUUUGCUCAUCGCUGUGAAACAAGGAUAGAGCAAAGACUUAAAAGCACUGAAUUUUGUUCGACCAUCCAAAAUUUUCUUUUUAUUUGAAAAGUAAAAAUCGAGAAUAGCUUGGCGUGCGACCGAGGCUCAACUCACCUAUCGCAAUAUGAGUUGAUUUUUGAAAAACAGAAAUUAAAAAUAAUACCUCGGCAUGCGACCCGAAGCUCAACUCACCUCUAGCAAUAUGAGUUGAUUUUUUGAAAAAACAGAAAUUGAAAAAUACCUCAGCGUGUGACCCGAGGCUCAACUCACCUCUCGCAACAUGAGUUGAUUUUUGAAAAACAGAAAUUUAAAAUACCUCAGCGUGCGACCCGAGGCUCACUCACCUCUCGCAGUAUGAGUUGAUUUUUGAAAAACAAAAUUUAAAAUACCUCACGUGGCACCCGAGGCUCAACUCACCUCUCGCAAUAUGGGUUGAUUUUUGCAAAACAAAAAUUUAAAAUACCUCGGCUUGUGUCCGAGGCUCAACUCACCUCUCGCAAUUUGAGUUGAUUUUUGAAAAUAGAAAUUAAAGAUACCUCGGUAUGUGAUCCGAUGCUCAACUCACCUCUCGCAAUAUGAGUUGAUUUUUUGAAAAACAGAAAUUUAAAAAGAAAUACCUCAGCGUACGACCCGAGCCUCAACUCACCUCUCGCAAUAUAAGUUGAUUUUUUGAAAAACAGAAAUUUAAAAUACCUCAGCGUGCGACCCGAGGCUCAACUCACCUCUCGCAAUAUGGGUUGAUUUUUGCAAAACAAAAAUUUAAAAUACCUCGGCUUGUGUCCGAGGCUCAACUCACCUCUCGCAAUUUGAGUUGAUUUUUGAAAAUAGAAAUUAAAGAUACCUCGGUAUGUGAUCCGAUGCUCAACUCACCUCUCGCAAUAUGAGUUGAUUUUUUGAAAAACAGAAAAUAAAGAUACCUCGGUAUGUGACCCGAGGCUCAAUUCACCUCUCGCAAUAUGAGUUGAUUUUUUUUGAAAAAUAGAAACUGAAAAUACCUCAGCGUGACUCGAGUGUCAACUCACCUCUGGCAUUAUGAGUUGAUUUUUAAAAAAAAAAAUUAAAGAUACCUCGGUAAGUGACCCGAGGCUCAACUCACCUUUCGCAAUAUGAGUUGAUUUUUUUUGAAAAACAGAAAUUUAAAAUACCUCGGCAUGUGUCCGAGGCUCAACUCACCUCUCGCAAUUUGAGUUGAUUUUUGAAAAUAGAAAUUAAAGAUACCUCGGUAUGUGAUCCGAUGCUCAACUCACCUUUCGCAAUAUGAGUUGAUUUUUUGAAAAAUAGAAAAUAAAGAUACCUCGGUAUGUGACUUGAGGCUCAACUCACCUCUCACAAUAUGAGUUGAUUUUUUUUGAAAAAUAGAAACUAAAAAUACCUCAGCGUGACCCGAGGCUCAACUCACUUCUCGCAUUAUUAGUUGACUUUUUUGAAAAACAGAAAUUAAAGAUACCUCGGUAAGUGACCCGAGGCUCAACUCACCUUUCACAAUAUGAGUUGAUUUUUUUUGAAAAAUAGAAACAGAAAAUACCUCAGCAUGACCCGAGGCUCAACUCACCUCUCGCAUUAUGAGUUGAUUUUUUUGAAAAACAGAAAUUAAAGAUACCUCGGUAAGUGACCCGAGGCUCAACUCACCUCUCGCAUUAUGAGUUGAUUUUUUUGAAAAACAGAAAUUAAAGAUACCUCGGUAUGUGACCCGAGGCUCAACUCACCUUUCACAAUAUGAGUUGAUUUUUUUGAAAAAUAGAAACAGAAAAUACCUCAGCGUGACCCGAGGCUCAACUCACCUCUCGCAUUAUGAGUUGAUUUUUUUGAAAAACAGAAAUUAAAGAUACCUCGGUAAGUGACCCGAGGCUCAACUCACCUUUCGCAAUAUGAGUUGAUUUUUUUUAAAAGCAGACUUUAAAAAAAUACCUCGGCGUGACCCGAGGCUCAACUCACCUCUCGCAAUAUGAGUUGAUUUUUGAAAAAACAAAAAUUGAGAAAUACCUCGGCGUGUGCCCAAGGCUCAACUCACCUCUUGCAUUAUGAGUUGAAUUUUUUGAAAAACAGAACUUAAAAAAAACACCUCGGCGUAUGACCCGAGGCUCAACUCACCUCUCGCAAUAUGAGUUGAUUUUUUGAAAAAAAGAAAUUGAAAAAUACCUCAGCGUGACCCGAGGCUCAACUCACCUCUCGCAUUAUGAGUUAAUUUUUUGAAAAAUAGAAAUUGAAAAAUACCUCAGGAUGUGACUCGAGGCUCAACUCACCUUUCGCAAUAUGAGUUGAUUUUUUUUAAAAGCAGAAAUUGAAAAUACCUCAGCAUGACUCGAGGCUCAACUCACCUCUUGCAAUAUGAGUUGAUUUUUGCAAAAACAGAAAUUGAAAAAAAAUAAUUUUUGAAAGAAACAGGGUUUCAAAAACAUCGGGUAAAACUAAAAGCCUCCUUUUCAUUAAUUCUGUGCAGCUUUCUCCUAAAAUUCCUUGCUCUACUGGAUACCUAUAUAUGUCAUGUAUGAUGUUAUCAUGAUAUGCACGUGUUUAUCCUAAAUGCUUUUAUGCCUACAUGAUCAUGCCAUGCACUUUGAACUGUUUGUCACAUGCCCCCUUUUUCGUAAGGGACUACAUUCAUCGCCUCAAACAUCGAUUACUCAUCUUCGAUUUUGUUGAGUGACCCACAUUUUCGUAUACCACCUUCCUGCCCCCUUGUUGAACUUUGUUCCUGCUUUGGGGCCCUUGUAUUUAUCAAAUUCUCAUCCUGGUAAUGCUCAACAUUCCUUUUGUUUAGAGUAUGUCAUCUUACUAUUUAUCAUUUAAAUGAAUCAAACACGAGAUGCAUAAAAAAACAAAGUAGGCAUGAAAGAAAUACCUCACAUUCAAUUUUUCAAAAGCAAUAAAUUAAAGAAAAAUGACAAGGAAGUUCCAAUAAAGAAAGCAUCAUAAAGAAAGGAAAGUGAAUUCAAUUGCCACAAAUGCUCUAGAUAUCCAACGCAUGAACUUGUCCACAUUUCUUCGUUAAGGAUCUUUUCGAGCAUGGCUUCCUGUGUAGAAGAUUUCAAGCUUCUGAGAAUGCUUCAAAUAUUGUAACCUCGCCAUUCGACUCCCCGUUCAAGUCGUCUAUCUCCUUUAAGUUCGAGCCCGUUUCAUUAGGACGCCCUUUCAGGUUUUCAUCCUAAUCUUUUUUGUUUAUCAAGACGCCCUUUUCGGGUUUUCAUCUUGAUUUUUCAUUUUUUGUUUUUUUUCUGUUUUUUUGUUUCUUUUUGUUUCUUUCUGUUUUUUCUGUUUUUUCUAUUUUUUUGUUUUUUUGUUUUUUUUGUUUGUUUAGGCAUAACAUUUCUUCACAGCAUCUGAGUUCACUGGAUUAGGUAAUUCUUUCCCAUCCAUUUCAGUGAGAAUCAAAGCCCCUCUUGAGAAUGUCUUUUUUACAACAUAUGGCCAUUCCCAAUUUGGUGACCAUUUUCCUCGAAAGUCUUUUUAUACCGGGAGGAUUUUUCUUAGUACAAGUUCCCCUUCGCGGAAUUCUCUUGGCCGCACCUUUUUAUCAUGGGCCGUGAUCAUUCUUUUCUGGUACAUCUGUCUGUGACAAAUUACCUUCAAGCGUUUUCCUUCAAUAAGGUUUAGCUGGUCAUAUCGAGCUCGAACCCAUUCUGAUUAUUUUAGUUUUGACUCCAUCAAGACUCGCAGGGAUGGGAUCUUUACUUCGAUAGGCAAAACGGCUUCUAUCCGGUAGACCAGGGGGAAAUGAGUUGCUCCCAUAGAUGUCCGUACAGAGGUGCGAUAUGCAUACAAAGUGAAUGGUAGCUUAUCGUGCCAAUCUUUAUAUAUCUCAGUCAUCUUCCCGAUAAUUCUCUUAAUAUUUUUGUUGGCCACUUCAAUAGCUCCGUUCAUUUUCGGGCGAUAAGGUGAGGAAUUAUGAUACUUUAUCUGGAAUUGCUCACACACUUCUUUCAUCAUUUUGUUGUUCAGAUUCAAAGCAUUAUCUGAAAUAAUUCUCUCAGGCAAACCAUAUCGACAUAUUAUCUCCCUUUUUUAGGAACCUACAGACUGCGGCCUUUGUCACAUUAGCAAACGAAGUGGCUUCUACCUAUUUUGUGAAGUAGUCUAUAACCACAAAGAUGAAUCGAUGCCCAUUAGAAGCCUUCGGGGAGAUUGGCCCUAUAACAUCCAUGCCCCACAUAGAAAAAGGCCACGGAGAAGUCAAGACAUGAAGGGGUGAAGGAGCCGCAUGAAUUUUACUGCUGUAAAUUUAACAUUUAUGACACUUUCGUGCGUAUCCAAUGCAAUCCCUUUCCAUCGUCAGCCAAAAAUAACCAAGUCUCAUAAUCUGUCUGGCCAUAGUGAAACCACUGGCAUGCGUUCCACAAAUUCUUUUGUGAACCUCUUCAAGUAUCUUUCUAGCUUCAACAGCGUCCACACAUCUCAGGAGCACUUGAUAUUUUCCUAUUUUGUAUAGGAUAUCCCCUUCAAGAACACAUCCAAUCGCCAUUCUCCUGAAAGUUCUUUUGUCAUUCUCGUUUGCUUGCUCGGGGUACUUUUGAUUCUUGAUAUACUCUAAGAUAUCAUGGAACCAUGGUCGUCCAUCUGACUCCUCCUCAAUGCUAAAACAAUGUAGGGGGUCUCAUGUAUGCUCAUCUGGAUAGGCAUUAUUUCAGUUUCUUUGUUUGCUUUAAACAUUAAAGCCAAAGUGGCCAGGGCAUCAGCCAGUUGGUUCUCUUUCCGUGGGAAGUAGUUAAAAGUCACUUCAUUGAACUCUUUUACUAGUUCCGCAACGAGAUCGCGAUACUUUACUAAUUUUGAAUCCCUUACUUCCUAAUCUCCACGAAUUUGGUAAAUGACUAAUGCUGAGUCCCCGUGUACCUCUAAAAUUUUAAUUUUCCUCCUGAUGGCUGCACGGAGUCCUAUGAUGCAAGCUUCAUACUCUGCUAUAUUAUUGGUACAGAAGAAAUUCAAUCUAGCAGUGAGCAGGUAAUGAUCCCCUUCCGGCGACACUAAGACUGCUCCGAUCCCAUGCCCCAAUACAUUCGAUGCAUCAUCAAAGCUCAUCUUCCAUGAUUCCUCUUUUGAUGACUCACCCUCUUUUUUCUGAAAUGCACAUCAAGUCUUCAUCUGGGAAAUCAAAUCUCAAAGGCUCGUAUUCUUCUCUUGUUCGACUAGCCAAGAAGUCAGCUAUUGCGCUUCCCUUUAUCGACUUUUGGCUCACAUAUGCGAUGUCAUACUCAGUCAGAAGGAUCUGCCAUCGUGCCAUUCUUCCUGAGAGUGCAGGUGACUCCAUCAUGCACUUUAUUGGAUCCAGUUUUGAAAUUAACCAUAUCGUAUGAUACAACAUGUAUUGUCUGAGCCUUUGAACCAUCCAAAUCAAUGCACAACAAAAUUUUUCAAUUGAAGGGUACUUUACUUCAUACUCUGUGAACUUCUUACUGAGGUAGUAAAUUACCUUUUCUCUUUUCCCCGACUCGUCAUACUGUCCCAGUACGCAACCCAUUGAGUUCUCAAACACGAUCAGGUACAAUAUUAAGGGUUUUCCAAGGGUCAGCGGUACUAGUACCGAAAGAUUAGAUAGAUACUGUUUUAUCUUGUCGAAGGCCACUUGGCACUCCUCGUUCCAUUCUCCCGGAUUAUGUUUUCGAAGGAGUCAAAAAAUUGGAUCACAUUGAUUGUUAAGUUGGGCAAUGAAUCGAGCAAUGUAAUUCAACCUUCCUAAAAAUCCUCUGACUUCCUUUUGUGUGCGCGGGGGAGGCAGUUCUUGUAUAGCUUUUAUCUUAUCUGGAUCAACCUCGAUACCUCUCACUGACAAUGAAACCUAGCAGUUUUCCUAAGGUAGCCCCAAACGUACAUUUGGCCGGGUUAAGCUUCAACUGGAACUUUCUUAAACUUUCAAAUAGCUUCCUGAGACUCCCAACAUGCUCUUUUUCUUCCCGGAAUUUGGCAAUCAUAUCAUCGACAUAAACUUCUAUUCUUUGUGCAUCAUGUCAUGGAUAGCAUCACCAUGGCUCUCUGAUACGUUGCCCCAGCAUUCUUCAAUCCGAAUGGCAUCACCUUAUAGCAGAACGCUCCCCACAUUGUCACGAAUGUGGUUUUCUCCAUGUUUUUGGGAGCCAUUUUUAUCUGAUUAUAACCUGAAAACCAUCUAUGAACGAAAAUAAAGAAUGUUUUGCCGUGUUAUCCACCAAUGUAUCGAUGUGUGGCAAGGGAAAAUUAUCCUUAGGGCUUGCUCAAUUCAGACCGCGAAAAUCCACACACAUUCAUACCUUACCGUCUUUUUUCGAUACUGGGACUAUGUUAGCUACCCAUUUUCGAUAUUUAGAGACUUGUAAGAAGCCGGCAUCAUAUUAUUUCUUGACUUCUUCUUUCAUCUUUAACAGCAUUUCAGGUCUCAUUCUUCUUAACUUUUGCUAAACGGGUUUGCAUUCUGGUUUCAAUGGGAGCCUGUGGACCACCACAUUGUCAUCCAACCCUAGCAUGUCCUGAUAAGAGCAGGCAAAUAGAUCUUUGUACUCACGGAGCAAGACGUUUAAAUUCUGUUUGGUGUUUUCUGAAAUGGAAGUCCCAAUAUUCACUUUUUGUUUUUUUCCUCACUACCCAAGUUUACUGCCUCAACAUAUUCUUGAUUGGGCAGGAUCUGUUUCUCUUCUUAUUCUACCAUUCUCAGUAAGUCGGGAGACGAGACAAAAUCUUCAGUAAAAUCUUCAGCAUCAUUCUUGGCUUCGAAUUCUCCUAAACAAACAGCCUUCUCGAAAUCGAUUUCAGGACUUGUAACUUGAUUGUUCAUACCAUGGAUAUUUGAGCACUUCAAAGGUGAAUGGGAAAUAAAACUAUAGAGGAGCAUCAAAGUAUUGGAAUCAACACACACAAUGUUAUAGAAUGAUAUGAGAUACAUGGAGAGAAAGGAUAUGAAGCGAGGGGGUAAUUAUGAAACUGAUGGAAAUGAGAAGAUCAUGACAAAAUGCAUCUUCAUUAAUGUUCAUUGAAAUGAUAAAGAACAAACAUAAGCUCUUACAAAAGGAAUCCCAUUACUUAGGGACACACAAAAUAGUGGAGAAUUAACAUUGGGCAUUACUCUGGAGAGGACAUAGAAACUACAAGGAGGUCCACAGCAGUCUAGUUGUUCAAAACAUAUCCUAGAGGACAAAGGCGUAUCAUCUCGAUUGCAUCAUCCUCGUUGUCAACAACAUUUAUGCUGAUGUUCUGAAAUCCCUUUUCAUUCAACGCGCUUUGCGGAUUAUCCUACCCCUCAUCUCCAUUUGUUACCGCAUUCACAUUCCCAUUAGCAUGGUUAGGAAGAGGAUUACUAACACCAUCAAAUCGCAGAAUGCCAGCAUCGAUGAAAUCUUGAACCCUCCUUUUAAAGGCAAGGUAAUUUUCUGUAGAAUGCCCCUGAUUUCCAGUGUGAUACAUGCAACUAGCAUUAGGAUCAUACCAUUUUGGGUAUGGGGGCUUUAGGGGUGCCAUGUAAUGCGGGGAUAUUAUUGCUUGUCCAACAGUUUCAGAUAUAACUCUCCGUAUGGCACGGAAAUUGGGUUAACUGAGGUUUUUCAGAAUUGAGUCUCGCUGGUCUUUGCUCAUUUUUGGGUUGGAUUUGUAUAGGUAUAGUGUUUGGUAGGAACAUGGUGAACGGACUUUGGUUAUUCAUAGCGUAGACGGGGUAAGAGGGAGGUGUUUGAUAGUAAGGACUUUGAGGAGGAAAGUAAAAGUUUGUAGGUGGGCGAUAACGAGGUCGUGGUUGGGCUGGGUACGGAUUAGAAAUACAGUGGAUCUCGGUUCCAACCAUAUGGGUUUCUGGCUCCUUUUUCUUUAUGGGUACUGCCCUCUUUGAACUCUCGGGACAUUCUAUUCUCCUACUCUUGAUGGCGAUUUCUAUAAGCUCCUCGAAAAUUACAAUGUCUGCAAAGUCCUCUGUGGCGCUCCCUACCAACUUAUCGUAAAAUAGAGCUUUCAAAGUGUUGAUGAAGAGGACCGUUAUCUCCUUCUUAGUUAACGGGGGUUCCACCUGAGCCGAGAUAUCCCUCCAUCUUUUUGCAUAUUGCCUAAAAGUCUCUGUUGGCUUCUUUUCCAUCAUCUGUAGCGUUAGUCGAUCGGGUACCAUAUCUGAUACAUGCUUGUAUUGCUCACAAAAUGCUGAUGCUAAGUCCUUCCAUGAUCGGAUCUUUUCUCUACUGAGCUGAUUGUACCAUCGAAGAGCCAAUCCAACCAAACUGUCCUGAAAGCAGUGUAUCAGUAACUUAUCCUCAUUCACGUAACCAGUCUUCUUCCUACAAAACAUAACAAGAUGUGCCUUUGGACAUUGUGUCGCAUCAUACUUUUCAAAAUCUGGUACCUUGAAUUUCGGGGGUAGAACCAAGUCGGGCACUCAAUACAGAGAAGACUUCAGUACCUUCUAUUGCUUUGAGCCUUUCUUCUAGGAUCUUAUACUUAUCUUAAGCGUCAUAAUCAUCAGUUUUCAACUUUGCUAUUUCCAUAGGAUCGUCUGGAUCUGGAACAAUUGGAUUUGCUGGAUUAGCCCCGGGGUUUGAUACGAAUAUACCUUGCUCGAGAUGAGCAGGUGGUACAGGACGUUGUUCUAGGACUGUAGGUUCCCCUUGAGGAUAUCCUCUUUGCAUUGCAUGAGUGUGAGGUGGAGUGAAUCCUGAGGGAUAGAGCGGAUCUUGAUCAUUAUUAGCUCUUGAUUGAGGCUCCACAAUAUCAGGGCUCUGCAUGUGUCCCUUUCCUUUGACCAAAGCUGUCAUCAUCUCCAUCAUUUUGGCCAUUUGAUCUCUUUGCUCGAGUGAUUCCUCUCGAGAUCUCACCAUCAUUUCUCCUGCAUCUUGUUGUGACUUGGCCAAUUGCUCUUGUAGCUCUUUUUGGAUUCUUUCCAUCCUUUCAAUUCUUUCAUUGAGUUCAGUAUCCAUAGCUCUGGUUCUUAGACGUGUCCUGUAAGGAUGACGUGACUCCAGACUUGUGUCGCAACUGUGGAUUAUACUGUUUUAGCCUCAGUGAAUGGUAAGGGUGAUAUGUACAUGCAAUGAAUGAAUGAAUGGAUGCUAGUCAUGCGUAAAUAUGCAAAAAUGGUGUUGAUUUUAAUAUAGCCCCAUAUUUUGGCGUUUCAUUUAUCAAAAGAGUCCAUUACAAAAUACUUUGCCAAUGAAGAUACCCCUAGUGCCUGAGUCUCACCGUUUCCAGAUCCUAGUCAAAUCUUCAGGGUUAUUUUGACGAGCAUUUGAAGCCGCCUUCCCGAAAAUAUCAGAGAUAUAUCUUUCCUUUAAACUGUCCCUUUUGCUUUUUGGGCCCUCAAAGACCAGCCUCUGACUACGGUAUUUUUUCUCGGUUAUUUACAUAAUUGACUCCUCCAAUCAGAAAGCCGUUUUUGGCAACCAAUCUCUAAUCAACACAUUCCUAAUGAGAUGCCUAUGAUGCAUGAUGAAAAAUAAAAUGAAGACAAAUAAACUUAGUUAGCAAUCACGACAAAUAUAAACAAAGGAAAACUAUGGAAAAUCCAACAAACUGACCUUCUUUUUUUUGUUUACCCCAUCAUGCUUUACAAAAUAAACUUACCCUACGUGCUCAUCAAUUUACCAGAUACAAAUGUAAAUGUAAAAGAAAUACAAGGUAAGAAACGUUUCUUCCAUGUACUUAUUUUGGUGACUAUUCAACGGACAGAGGUUCGGCAUGGCUCUAAUUGUGUGGCUCGUACGGUUCACUAUAUGUGGUUUUGGUUCUAGAAAGGUACUCGAACUGUCCAUACUGUCACCUACUAAGGUUAGUACGGAGCCUCGGUUAUUGCCCGUCAUGGGCUUGCGAGCUCAAUUCGAGGGAUUACAUUUACUUAUGCCUAUGCGGAGGGACAAGAUUUUUGAAAACACGAAAAUUUUUGAAACACUGGAAUUUUGAAAACACGAAGAUUUUUGAAACAUGAGAAUUUUUGAAAACACGAAAUUUUUUUUAAAAACACAGAAAUUUUUGAAACACGAGAAUUUUUUUUGAAAACACGAAAAUUUUUGAAACACGAUUUUUUUUAAGAAGUACCGUAUUUAACACGAAUAAAUGAUAUUCAUCCCUACAUGGCGAUGAAAUCGUCGAAUUAGUGUCAAAUCGAUUCAACUUAAUAUCUAAUUGUGAUUCUAUUAAACACGAGAAUUUAAAAAACACGAGAAUUUUAGAAUAUUUUCGAUUUUUUUAAAAGGGCGUAUCGUGUUGAACACAAACCGAUGAUAUUCACCCAACAUAGCGAUGAAAUCAACGAUUAAUGUUAAAUCGAUUCGUUGCCUUAUUUAUUGAAAUUAUUUAAAUUUAAAAUAAAAUUGAAAUUAAAUUAAAUUAAAAAUAUAAAUACAAAAAUAUAAAAAUGCAUAAAGUGCUAAUAAUAUUAAAACGAAAUAGCAUAAAAAUACGAGUAUUAAAUUAAAAGUGAAAUAAACGAAAUUACCUAAAAUGUCUAAAACACGAGCUUGGUCGAACGGGUUACGCAAAUUGAAUCCCUUUUUUCUUUUUCCCUUUUUUUUCUUUUUUCUUUUUCUUCUUUUUUUUCUCCUUUUUUUUUCUGCUGGGCUGGCCUGUUGGACUUGGGCUUGCUGGGCCGCGUCACUGGGCCUGAGGGGCUGUUGGAACGGGCCUGGCCUGCUGCUGUGCUGCUGGGCCUGAGCUGCUGGGCUUGGACAAUCCUGCUGUUUUUUUGCUGCUGCUUUUGUUUUUUACUACUACUAUUUUUUUGGGCUGAUCUGCUACUGUUGGGCCUACUGGGCUGAUGGGUCGGGUGCGGGUUGUAUCGGGUCGAGUCAGUUUGGCCCGGCUGUUAAAAUUUUUAUUUUCUUUUUCUUUUUUUCUUUCUAUUUCUUCUUUAUUUUUUCUUCUUUCUUUCUUCUCUUUUUCUCCUUUUUCUUCUUCUCCUUCGGCAGCCCCGACGUCACUCCCCCCAGCCCGGUACGACAGUAGACGACGGCUGUGGAGCUCUCCUCUCCCUCCUCCCUUAUUCUUUUUUCUCUUCUUUCUUCUUUCUUCUUUACUGUUUCUUUUUGCUUUGUCUUUUGCUUGCUGCUUUUUCUUUUGUUUAUGCUUACUUGGUUCUUGGCUUGGGUUCAGCGGUGGAGCAAUGAUGGUGGUGGUGCAACAAUCGUGGUGGCGGUGGGAGAAAUCGACUAGAUUUGAGAGCUCUUUUUUUGAAAUUUUUCUGCUAAUUUUUCUUUUCUUUUUUUUUCUUGGCUGCCCAUUUUUGGGGUUUUUAAACCCUUUUUAUUUUGAUUUUUCUUCUCCUUUUUUGCAUGUUGCAGGUGGCUAGGCAGGGGUAGGCCGGCCGCCGCCUGUUGCAAGCGCAAGUUGCGCUGGUUGCUGAAGAGGGACCAAAAUGUAAAUGCAGUAAAAGUUUUAGGGUCGAAACGUAAUUUUAAGAAAUUUUAAGGGUUAAAAUGUAAUUUAGAAAAGUUUAGGGGUUGAAAUGUAAUUUUGAAAAUUUUAGGGGUUGAAAUGUAAUUUUAAAAUAGUUUAAGGGUCAAAAUGUAAUUUUAAAAAAUUUAGGGGUCAAAAUGCAAAUUUUUUAAUUAAUUAAAAAAACACGAAAUUAUUCCCGGACAAAAUUUAGUGAUUACAAAAGGGGAAAAAAGAAAGAAAAGAAGGGAAAUACACAGGGCUUAGGGACUUAGGAGUUCAAGCUGAAAUUGGUUAGUGCAAUUUAGUCUUUUUUUGUAAUUUUUACGUUUUUGGAAUCCUGAUACUUAGGCUUAGUCAACCCGUGUUGCAAUUUUAAGUAUUGUUUAGAAUUUUAGAUGUUACUGUUGUUGUAUAGGUUAAGUAUUAGGGAUUAAAUUGAUAGAUUUUUAAGUUAAAAGUGAAAAAGGACUAAAUAGUGAAGUAAUUCUUGAUUUUGAGUAAUAGGAACUAAAUUGUGAAAAAUUGAAAUUUAAGGGUAUAAUUUAAAAUAGGGAGUUAAAUUUAGUUUAAAGUGAAAUGAGUAUGAAAAUAUAAAAUUUAAUGUGAAGAUUACAAAUUAAUCUCGAUUUAAAGACUAAAUUGAAAUUUAAGCAAAUAUUGUGUAAAAAAUUUAAAUAUUCAAUGUGGAAUCGAAUUGUGUAGUAUUAAUGUAUUUUAAUUGUUUUAAUUCUAUAGCUAAUGUCGUAUCGGAAUCUUCAACUAAAAAGGGGAAGGAUAAAAUCAACGUUAAAUAGCUCAGAAUCCAUGAUUUGUGUUUCUAUAAUCCGAACUAAGUUGUAAAUUAUUGCAUUUUGAAUUAUUGCAUAUGGUAAGAAUUGGAGGUGAUAAUUAUUAUGUUUUACGAUUGAAUUGAAUUCAUAGUUGAUUGAAUUGGAUUGAUUUGGUAUAUGUUAUAAAUGUAUUGAGUAUUUGGAAAUUGAAAUGAAUAUAUGUUGAAAUAUGAUAAUGUGCAAAUAUGAGAAUUGGAUAUUGGUUGUAUUUGAAGAUUGAAAUGAAACUCUAUUAACUGUAUCGAGCUGAGUCGGAUAUGGUUGGAAUACCAUAGGAUAGGAAGAGUUCACCGAUUUCUUCGACUUCGAGUCGAUGAGGCACUUUGUGCCAAACUGGUGUGUUGGUUGUAUCCGUGUAUCCGUCCAAGUCUGAGUCGUGUUAAUAGGGAUAAAUAAAUAAUAAAGUUCUAUAAUUGAUAUUGAAAUGACAUGGUAUGUGAAAUGGAAAUGAGAAAGUGAAUUGAAAAAUGAAAGGUGGAAUAUAUUGUGAACAAAUGAACUAAAUGAGUUAUGUACUCAUGAAUUGAAUAUGGAAUGAAUAAUGCCAUAAUAUAAAUGAAAUGUGGAUUGAUAUGUGAAAAGUUAUUUAUAUAGCAAUUGAUGUAAAUUGAGAUAUUGUUAAACAAAUCCAAUAUGAUAACAUGUGAAAAUUAAGUAUAGUAUGAAAUGAUGUGGUAAUAUGUAUGAAUUUGAAAUAGUGAUAUCUUGUAAUUGUAAGCUUAGACAAUAGUAUGUUGUAUAAUUCAAUUUGAACAUUCAAUAUCAUUAUGACAAUGUUUGGAUUAUAGAAAUAUUACUGAGUUUUACUCAUCGUGUGGUUUUCUUUAACGUGCGCAGGUUAGGUAUUUCUCCUUUGAUCAUCGACUUAGCAUCCAACAACGAUCUCGAUCUCAAGUGCAGUGAUGUUUACUUUUUGUAAGGGCAUGUACCUAGGAUGUCUUAGUUGAUAGUUAUUUUGUGAAUGGAUUGUAAUUUGAGUUAUAAGUAUAAUGUUGGUUUGAGUAUAUAAGUAUAUGUUUAUGUUUGAAGCCAUAAUUUGGCAUGUAGUUUUAAACCAAUGCUUGUUAGGUGUAAGUGAACUUAAGCUUGAUGUUUUAGAUAGCUAUACGUUAGGCUAAAUUGAGUGAUUUUGGCAUGCUUAAAAUCUUGAUUUAAAUGAUGCAUUGUUGAUAUGUUUUGAUGAUAUAAAAUGUGGUACCAAUGAGGGUACAUUAGUUAGACACCUAAGAUGAUUGUUUUGGCAUGUUUUAAGUAUGUUUGAUCGUAUUUUGAGAAGGUUAAAUGAUUGGUUUUUGAGUUGCUUCAUGCCCAAGCAACUAGGAAAUGGUAAACUUGUUGUUUAAGGUACAUUUUGGGUCUACACGGCCAGACACAUGGGCGUGUGACUUGGCCGUGUGAGACACAUGGCUUAGCGACACGGCCAUGUGUCAUCUGAUGAGUGCUUAGGGUGCAAGUCAGUUAGCAUAUGGCCUGGUACACGGGGCGUGUAGGUCUAUUUUGAGAGUUACACGGCCUGACACACAGACGUGUGACACGACCAUGUGACCUUACUUAGUGAGUUACACAGGCUGAGACAUGGUCGUGUGUCUCAAGUUCAAAUGUUACACGAGCAAGGACAUGGGCUGGGACACGGCCGUGUGUCCCUAUUUCGAUUGUUACACUGCCUGAGACACGGGUAUGCGUCUUAGCCAUGUGAGGCAUAUGACUGUGCGACCCUUAUUUUCAAAUUUUUGUGAAUUUUUCUUAGGGUUUUCAAAUGAAUUCAAAUCGGUCUAAUUUUUUUCUAAAGUAUUUUUAGGGCCUUGAGGGCUCGAUUUAGGGACAAUAUGUAUAUGUAUGAAUGGUUUAGGUUCUGUUUAUAACAUUGAGUGAAAUUAAAUAUAAAUAUUUUGAUUGUACAGUAAUUCUCAUAACCCUAAUUUGAUGACGGAGAGGGGUUAAGGGUGUUACAUUUAAAUUAACUAAAUUAUGUACGAGCUAUAUAUGGAACUCACUCCAAUACCUUGAACAAUUUCCACCUUGGGUCUGUAGAAUUAACUGUAAUUGACUCUGUUUUUUUAAAUAAUACAUCUUGUAAGUAUAUGACAGCAUUAAAACAUUGUCAUAUAAUCUGCUAAUGAUUUCCCUAGACCUAUUAAAGUGAUGCUUGAUAACUCGAUUUUUAAGGUGAUGAAAAUGAUAUGUAAAAACAUUGCCACUUUCUCAUCAACAAGCAUGUUCCUUGAUGACAUCAAUCCCUCUAAAAUUUGUAACAUCUCACAUAGUUUAAAAAAGGUAAUUCUAUUCAUCCUAACUUGUUCAAUACAUGUCUGGUCACUAACAUAUACAAGUCUUUUCACAUAAUCUAGUUUUGCAUAAAAAUCUAAAUAUAUGAUCUAAUCCUUGGUCUAUAAGUAUGUAGGCUAUGGAUGGCACCCAAUGUAACUAAGAACCAACCCGCAACUGUACACAUUUGCAACCAUACUAUCAAUGUAAGAUCAAUUCUUUUACGCCUCUCACUUUGUAUUAUUAAAGGCAGACGAGCCAUUAUUGUAAGAUAUUAAAGUGUUACAUAUCUUCAAAUUAUAGUAAAAUGAUCACAUUUCUUCAAUACUAAUUUUAAUAAUAGUAAAACAAAAUAAAAAAUUUAAUAACCAAAGAACUUAUAGUGAUUUAGUGAAUACAAGAAGCUCAACUGUGGGUGGAGGAAGCAAUCAAGCAAGCCAAAGAAGAAGAGGAAGAAAUAACACAUAGUCAAAGAAAAAUGAACAAUACGUAUUAAGAAUCUUUGCAAAGCACAAAAUAGAAAUUAUAACUAUCUUUGCAAGUAAAACUUGAAAUUCAUUUCUUUAUCAAAUUUCAUUCAACAAAAUCGACUCUUUGUUUGGCAAAUAAUAAUGUCUUGAACAAAAAUUAUAGUUAGUUUAAAAUAAAAAUUAAUGAUGAACAUCUAAACUUGAAAUACAUCCACAUCCAAAUUACAUAAUUUCCAGUUUAUAGAAAUAUACAUAUAUUAUAUGAAUUUUUAAAAAAAUUCAAUAUUUAAUUUACCCUUUAAUCUUGUAUUCAUCCUCACAUUGUAAUUAACUAAAUAUACAAAUAGUAGCCACGUAUGGUGGGAUUCGAACUUAGGUGCUUAAGGAUGGUGGGAUGCGAAGUUAAUUUUAAUCUUAUAACCACCAUAAAAGGAUGGUGGCAAAAGCGUCUUUGAUUAAUGUGUCAAAUAGCUAAUUUAUAAUUUAUAUAAAAAUAAAUCAAAUUACAAACCCUUCAAAUAUGCCCUAUUUAGAUUUAAAUUGGUGGGUUUAAUUUUUUUUUUGAAAGAACAUUUAAUUACUUAUUUGGGUUUAUUUCAUGUUUGGACUUGAAAAGUAAAAUGCUUGGAUAAGGGCUUGGGUUUAAGUAUUUUAAUUAUGUAUAUAAUCUAAUCAUUUCAAUUGUCUCUUUAAAUCAAAUGAAAUUAAUUUGGAUCAUCCUUGGAAUCUUAAUCUCGAAUACCAGAAUAGAAAGAUAAUUUGUUUUUGACGUCCUAGAGAAAUCUAGCGUGGGGAUAUUAUUAUUUUCUUCAUAAAGUAAACCGAUUUACAUGUCACAAAGCAUCCCAUGCACGUGUCUAUAGAGAAUCAACUUUUAAUCCUACUUGUAAUCUUUUCAACAAGAGGGUGGAAGUCACUAUAUCUCAAAUUCCUAGUUACUAAUGGUACAACAAGGUACCUAACUAGGAGAGUUCCAAAUUUCAGGCCAGUAGGUUCUACAAUUUCUUACACCUUAAAAUAAGCAAUUAACUUUUCACCAACAUAACUAAGUUCGUUAGAGUUAGAACAAAAAACAUGGAAGCUAGACUAUUAGAAUACUAGGUUUUCACACACAGCAAUACCAACUAAAUCUAGUAAAGACGCCUCGAUAACUUAGCAUUUUUGUUUUCAUUGACCAUACCAUAUAUAAGAUGGUCCAGAAAUUGAUCCACCUUGCAUAUUCGAACUUGUGACAUUAAUUAGAUGAUGAAACAUGAUCAUGCAAUGUAACACCACAUGAAGUAUGGAGUAUGAAGUAGUGGAUCCUAAUGAACACAUUCUCCUUUAAGAUCAUCCAUUGAGAUCUCAAGCACAUAGUGCGUGUGAAUCCUUCUAAAGCAAUCUUGGUACCUUGAGUAACAAUAAGCUCCAAAGAAACAAACUAUCGAGCAAAUAAAGAGCAAUAGAAAAUAAUUCAAGAACUACUCUGAUCCAAGACAGUAGAUUUCACACUAGAUCGAAUCCAUUUACCAAAUUGAAUUUACUCAAGAGCAUCAAUAAUUAAUAGAUCAAGCUAUUUUACUAAUCUAUGACUAGCAAAGAAAUAAAUAGCCACAUUCACAUCACUUCAAAUUAAGAUUAACAAAUUUAAUGUAUUGAAACUAGAAGUAGCACAAAUGAACAGAUUGAAACUCAUUCAUCAGACUAGAUUAUCAAAGUGCACCAACUAGACCCAAUAACGUUCAAGAAUAAUAGAAAUAGAUGAAAAUCCUCCAAGCAGAGCAUAAAAGGCACAGAAAAUUAUCAACUACAAAUGCCACCAGAUUUAGCAAAUACCUUCAAAUGAAGAUAGACAACCACCUUAAAACACUCAAAGAUAUAUUGAUAAACCAUCUAAAUUGAUCAAUCACCCUAAAACAACCAUAGAUGUAUCAUAUCUAACCAACAAUAUAUUCUAACAACUAAAUAUUAUCGAAAACUUGAAAACAAACUCAUAAAAAAUAGAGAUUUCAACAUUCUCCAGUUGAUGCAUAAAACAGAGUGAAAUUUGGGAAAAAAAAAAGAAAAACAUUUUAUCUGAAUUAACUCUGUUAACAUGAUGAGGCUGUCCAACUAGGUUGUCAUUAGUUGAAUCCUUUUUGCUAGUUCUUUCACACUGCCCCCACUAUUACUGCCUUCCUUGUUUGAUGAUCCAAAACAAGGAAAACACCCACCCAUAAUCAAACCCCAGAAUUAAAAAAAAACCCAAAAUUUAAUACAAAAUGAAGGCAAAUAAACAAAAUCGAUUUACAUGAAAAACAAGAUCAAAGAAGAGGUAGAAAGGCUAAACUCACUGAAAGCCUAGUAGGAUAAAAAUUUAGAUCCAAUAAGGGAAGAAGACUAACAACAGAGACUGAAAUGGUGAAGUAAACUGUAACAAAAAAAGGCAGAAAAAUAUUAUAGGUAAGAAAAAAUGGUAGAGAGGAAAAUGAAAGGAGCAUCGGGAAGGAGAAAUGUUUACCUGAAGGACGCUGGUUGAAGGAGAAGAGUGUCGGAGUCGAAGGAAGUAAGGAAUGGUUGUCGUUUGAGUGUUUUUGAUGUGAGAAUUUGGUGCGGGUAAGAUAGGGUUCUUCAAGCAUCGAAUCAGUAAUCGGUGGAGAGGGAAGGGAAUAGAAAUCACCAAAUUUCCCUGCAUAAGCCUAGAAUGUAAUACACCCGUAAUAGGGUAUUCUAUUGAACCGAACAACUAUUUGCAUAGGCUUGCAGAAUAGACUUGUAAUGGCAUAGCCAUUACAUUAAACCAAAAAUCCCCUUAGGGUCUUCUCUGGAAAGGAGACAUUUUGUUUGUAAAAACAAUCAUAGGGUCAUGAUCAGAUAAAGCAACCGACAAAUUGAAAACUGAGAUUUUUGUGCAAUUUUUGAAAUAGUGGUAGUUAGGAAAUGCCAUGUCAAAUCUUUCCUAAACAACAUCAUUUUGUUGUCGAUUGUUUGCCCAAGUGAAAUAGGAGUCCUUAAAAGGUAUUUCAAAGAGGAAGUAACCAUUAAUGUAUUAUAGUAAAUCUUAAGCUCCUUUUAAAUCAUUAGAAAGAUUAGAGAACUUGUCUUUGUACCAAAUGGCCUAAUUGCAAUCACCCAAUACUAUCCAACCUUCAUUAUCUUUAACAAUUUCGGAGAAAUCCAAGAGCUGUUCCCAAACAUUAUGUCUUCCACACAGCUUAGGUUUACCAUAAAUGUAAGAAAUCUAGGUUUUUAAGUUAUUGUCCUCCAUGUAGCAAGAAAUGAAGUUUUCAUUAAUAGAAAUGACAUUGCACCUAACAUUUUUACUCCAAAAUAAAACUGUCCCCCCACUACUAAAGCCUUUGUGUUUUGUGCCAACAAAAUAUCCAAAUUUCUAUUAGACAACAUCUUUCUAAAACUCAUAAAUGCUUAUUUACCUAAAUGAAACAUUUCAAUCUUAUGCUAUAUACAUAUAUAUUAUAUACAACUCAUGUACCAUAAAUAAAAAUAACCAUUAUAUCCAAAAUACCAAAUCGACAACUUACCACUUAAAAUCGGUUCAAUCUUGGGUACAUGCCACAUAUUGAAACAUAAAGAACUGUAUGAACAUUUCUUAGUCGAAAGUUGCAAUUUCGAUGUUAGGUCAAGUCUCGAGUCUUUAAGAUCUACUAAUACUUGUGCACAGAAUAAAAAGUAGAACGUUGAGCGAGAAAGCUCAGUUGUACUUCCAUGAUUUAAAUCAGUAUAAAUGAAAGCAUUAAUAUGAAAAGAAUAUAAUCAAUGUAUGAUCAAGUUUCAACCCUUUCAAUUACCUUUCAUGUACCAAAUACCAAGAUUAUGCACAAUCUCAUUUUACGAGCCAUAUGCAUAUUUCAUAUGUAUGAAUACAUGAUAUAUGUAACACCCUUAACCCGAUUCGAUUUGCUAAAUUUAAAUUUUAGGUAUUAACAUACGAGUAUAGACAAAAAUUUAAUCUACUUAUACAAUUUUCAAUUAAAUACAAAUUAACUUCAAACAGACUCGAACUAAUUUACAUAUGUAUAUACAAUAAGUAAAUGCAACUGCAGCAUGUGGUAAUUUAAUUACAAAAAAUAUCUGAAUUGAGAUCCUAUUCUAUUACAGCCAUCCCAGAAUAUGGAUUUCUAAGUAAUCUUUCAGACUUUGAACAUGCCACCAAACACGUUUUGUAUGCAUAAUAACUCGAUAUACCAUUUCUUUUGGCGUAGUCACAGUAUGGUCCCUCCUAGCGUAGAACUUAGUGAGAGUUACAACAUUUACCUAUGUGUUAAUUGCACAUUGUAGUCGAUGAAUCGAAAUGAUGAUCUUAUUGUUCUUGCCCUUGAACCUGUCUUUGGCGAAUACUUUUCUCAAAUUUCAUUAUUCAUAUACCAUAGAUAUCAUGCCUCCCUCUAAAAUAAUUUCUUUUCCCAUUAAAGUCUUUAAUACAUUACGCAUGUCUUUCCAUUUGAAUAUUUAUAAAUCUUUAUUUAGUACACGCUUCAAAUUCUAACCCAUUCUUAUCUAAAUCUCUUCAAUUCAUUAUUUUCAAUCGAACCAUAGUCUCAUAUAAUACCUUACCGUAUAGGCCAUGGAUUCAUUACACCUUACUGAUUUUACAGAUUACACUUAAAGUUCAUUUUGAAUAUGCCAACCUAGUCAUUCCUUAAGGUGCACCACAAAGACUAUGAUAACACCCUAAACUCGUAUCUGUUGCCAGAAUAGGGUUACAGAGCAUUACCGUAAAAAAAUAUAAGUUUGAAACAUACACUUCAACAUAAACAUAGCGUAAAUCAUUCAUCAACAUGCAUAUCGUCCCUUAAUCGAGCCUUUGAGGCCUUAAAAACACUUUAAAAACAAUUUGAGACUAAAUCGAAAAUGUUUUGAAACUCACAUGGCCGUGUGACUCACAUGGCUGAGACUCACGCCCGUGUCUCAAGCCCUCUAUCAAUCAAAUUAGGGACACAUGGCCGUGUUUCAGCCUAUGUCCGUUCCCGUGUAACUCUCUGAGUUGGAUCACACGGCCAAGCCACAUGCUUGUGUACCAUGCCAUGUAACACUCAAAAUGGCCUUACACGCCUAUGUACCAGGCCGUGUGCUAGGCUGUGUAACUGACUGACUUCAAUCCAUUAAAAACCUACAAUGGGACACACGACCAUGUCACAUGGUCGUAUGUUACACAUGGCUGAGACACACGCCCGUGUCUUAGGCCACGUGGAUAAGGAAUUGACCAAAAUCAAGCCAUUUCCUUCACCAAUUUCAAGCAUGUACCUACUAGCCAUUUGCACCCUUAACCAAAGCAUCUAAACAUACCAAUUAAAGCAUAAAACAACUAAUUCAAUGAACCAUAAAUCCAUCCAACCAAUAUGCAAACAAGGUACCUCAAAUGUAUUCAACCAUAUCUCACCUAAACAUGGAAACAUUACCACAUUUCAUACAUACCUAUCAAGAUCAAUACCAUUUUAGAAUUUACCAUAUUUUGACCAAAUCAAAACUAUUCCAACACAUACCAUAUUGGCUUUAAAAUCAUGCAUUAUAUCUUAACCAGAAUGACACAUACCAUCAAGGUAUCAAAAGUUCCAUAAGUACCAAAAGUUUACCAACCAUAAUAACACAUACUAGAAAGGCAUCAAUAAGUACCAAAAUGACAUUAACCAACCGACAUCAAAUGGUACUAAAACAACUUAUACAUGCCAGCAUCAUCAACUAACAUCCAAUUAGAUACUGAAACAAGUCCUCCUAUACAUGCCAUUAUAAUCUUAUCCAAAACAUCAAAACUACCGCUAUAAUCGUUAGAUGGUGUGAUAGAUCUCAGACAAGCUUUCAACUGAUCGAGCUUCCGAUAAUCUGUAAAGUAAAGAAAAAUAACUACGUAAGCAAUGAAUGCUUAGUAAGCUCGUAUAAACUUUUAACAUAACAUUCCAUUUCAAUAAUGAGUUUUAUAGGGUAAAUAUAAACCUAUACCAAUGCCACAAGAUUUAUAAAACUAUAUAACCAUAAACUCACAAAUGAGUAAAUCCCUUAACAUUACGUAUACUUUUUAUUCAUAACAUAAUAAGAUCUUAUAAUUUGUAUUACAUAAUCAACAACCUUUUCUUAAGAGGAUGAACCAUUCCAUUUACUUAGCAUAAGCUUAAAUAACAUUAUCAAUUCACAAAUUAGUGUGUUUAUUCAUAACAUAGGUAAAUUCAUCUAUAGCAUAAGUAAAUUUCUCAUAUAUAAGUAAGUUCUUUAACUCAUCAUCCAUUUAACUCAUCAUAAUAUAUCUCAAUUAUGAACUUACCAUUUCUGUAACACCCCUUACCCAUAUUCGACACCGGAAUAGGGUACGAGGUAUUACCAGAACACGUACACUUGUAAACGUAUUGAACCGAGUUAUAAAAUUCCAUUAAUUAUUAAAAAUUUCAAAUUAUUAACAUGCUUUUAUAAUUCUUCACAAUAUAAAUAAUGCAACAUUUCCUACCAACCACAAUCGAGCUUCCGAUAAUCAUCUCACUGCAUCUAAUAAUUGUACAUAUUACCAAUAAUAAUUCAAUUUCAAUAAUAAAACACAUAUCUAUAUAAUAUUCAUCAUCAAAUAACAUUCAAUUUAAUUAAAGUUAUGCAGAAUAUAGUUCAUACGAACUUAUCAGGCUAAAUUACAGAAAUACCAAAAUUUAGGGACAUUUUGGUAAUUUUAUAUUUUCUCGAAUUUCCACCCAAUCUUGAUCUAAAUUAAUAUUUCAUUUAAUUUACUAAUUUAAAUAAUAAAACAAUUCAUUUCAUGCAAUUUGGUCACUUUUUGACAUUUUUUACAAAUUUACCCUUAAAGUUUCACAUUUGUUCAAUUUAGUCCCUGAACCUAAAACAUGUAAAUUGGUCAUUUUUAAUGAAAACUCAGGCUAGUUGAAUAAUCAUAUAUUUUCCUCCUCCUCCUCUCCAUUCCACAUCCUUAAUGUAUAUAACAUGCUUAUAGGUAACAUUAGCUAUAAUUUCACCAUUUACUUAUAAAUUCAUUCAAAGCAGUCCACUUGAGUCAUAGCCACUAAAUUAUUUAUAUCUUGAGCUACAGAACUCAAAAUUAAUAUAUGUUAAUUUUAUUUGAAACUAGACUCAAAUAUCGUCUUACCAUAAAAUUUUCAGAAUUUUUGGUUUAGCGAAUAAGUACAGUUUAUUUUUUAAAUUCAUCCCUGUUCUGCUGUCUGACAGUUCCAACCCUUCUUCACUAAAAAUUAAUUAUCUCCUCGUACAGAAUUUGAAUGAUGUUACCAUUUGUUUCUAUUGAAAAUAUACUCAUUAAGUAUUUAAAAAUAUAAAUUUAAGCCUCUAAUUAUUUUUCUCCAAUUUUUGAUGAUUUUCCAAAGUCAGUACAGGGGAACCCGAAAUCAUUCUGACCUUAUCUCACAAAACCUAUUAUAUCUCAUAAUUUACAAUUCCAUUGCUUACACUGUUUCUUCUAUGAGAAAAUAGACUCAAUAUUAUUUAAUUUCAUAUUUUUUCCAUCCUAUAAUUCAAUUUAUACGAUUUUUGAUAGAUUUUCAAAAUCAGACUACUGCUGCUGUCUCAAAACUGUUUUAGUGUAAAAUGUUGAUAACUAAAUUUAUAACAAUUUCCUUUCCUUUCUCUUCAAUAUUUUCCAUCACUUUCUCUUAUUUCCCUUUACUAACAUAACAAGAAUAUAGAACCUUAUAUAAUGAAACUCUACCUUAACAUUAAUUUCCUACUUUUUCAAUAAUAUCAAACUCAAAAGUAUAUAAAAAUCUUGAUGUUCUUACCUUAUGCCAUUGAUUUCAAUCUUUAACUUGAUUUUCUCCCUCCUCCAGCUUCUAUUUCUUGAAUCUAACUUGAUAUUCUAGCUCCCCAUAGUCUCCUUGUUAUCUUUCUCUCUUGAUGAAUAUGGAAAUUCUUUUGAUUUCUAAGUGAAAAUGGUGAGUUUUUGGUAAAAGGACCAAAUUGUAAAGAAAAGAAAGUUUCUCUCUUUCUUUUCUCUUUAUACGAUAGUUGCAUGGGAAAGAAGAUGAUGAUUCUUCAUCUUUUCUUCCAUAUAUUUACACUAAAUAAAAUAUCAUUUAAAAAUCAAAUUAAAAUAUUAAUAAACUAAUAUUUAUUUAUUUAAUCUAAAAUAUCUCCAACAUCAUCAUUAUUUUCUAGAUUUCUAUUUCUUCUAAUUGACCAUUUUGCCCUUUAGAUCUUUUAAAAUUCCAUCCUUGAGUCGUCACUUAAUUUGGUAAAAUUACAAUUUAGUCCCUCAUAAUUCUUCAUCUAUUCAAUUUGGUCCCAAUUCAUCCAUCUUCCUUAGUUUCUUGAUUAUUCCACCCUUAAAAUAUUUACACUAUUGGUCCUUCAAAUUUUUCAUAUUUACACUUUAACCCCUCAAAUUUUGAGUAUUUACUCUUGGGUAACAAAACUUUUCUCACUUUUGAAAUUUAAUCCUUUCUUGAAUUAAUAUGUCAUAAUAUACUUUCCAAUGUUGACAUAACUCAAUUACCUUUUUUAUCACGUUAUUUCCUUAUUUCACCAUAUCAGGGAUAUUAUCUUACUUUCUUACUGUAGUAAUUUUCGGAGUAUUACAAUUUCAUAGCUAAUUAACCCUUCUAGCUUCUAGAAUUCAAAUUCUACAUUUUAUACAAAUAGGUCCUUUCCUUACUUAAUCACUAAAUCAUAUCAGUAUUUUCAUGCAACCUUCCUAUCAUAAUGCAACCCAUGUCAUAAUUUUAAAAUAAAUUUUUCCUUGUCGGAUUUGUGGUCCCGAAAUCACUGUUCCAUCUAGACCCAAAAUCGGUACACAAUACAAGACAUAAGCAUAAAAAUCAACCAAUUACACAAGCUUGACACAAGCCUAAAUAUUAUCAUCGAUACACAAGUUAGUGCAUUUAUACAUAACUCUUUUAGAAUCAACCACGUGAUAAGCCAUUUCAUAAGAAAAUAUAUCUUUUGAUUCAUACAACAUUUUCAUGCACAUAAGCAUAUUUCCACUUGGAUACUUACCAUUUCUAUGUAUAUCAUUACAAUUAAGCAUGGUAUAAUCCAACCAUAAGCUUAGCACAAGCCUAAGCAUCAUCCACAACACAUGUUAAUGCAUCAACUCAUAAUUCGCCUGAAAUAACAUGAGGAAAAUCAUUAUACAUGAACAACAUCAUUUGAAAUCAUCAAUUUCAUGAACAUAAGUACUAAACAUUUCCUUUUCAAUCCUUUUCAUAGAUUCAUGACAUAAAUUAUUUGAACACUUACAGUUCCUUUCCUUUCCAUGCCUGUUGAACCACUUAGAAUAAUAUUGGAUACACAGGAAGGCUCACACAAAGUGUGCUAAACAUAUGGUCGAAACCAUUUUUCUUUUCUUUUACAUCGUUACUCACUCGAGCCAUAAAAUUGGUCUGCUCAAACAAGUUGACGGUCGGAAUGUAAGCUACACGAUGCCGUUCACACAAGCUGAUGAGCAUCCGCAACAAAUGCAGGACCUUAGCCAUCGAUAGGACAUUCAAGACCAGCACCCAAAACAUGGUAACCCCCAAUGACAUGUCAUUUGUAUCCUAUAUAUUCCUAAAGUUCAAAUAGGGCUCCAGAAUCUUCAAUUCAUCAUAGCAUUGAUAUAUUUAUACAUAUUGAUUCUUUUACAUCAAAGCAACAUAAUAAUUAUUCAAUCGAAGCAACAAUAAAGCAACUAGAGUUCAUACGAACUUACCUGACUAAAUUGUGGCAAUGGUUAAGUACAAGGGUUAUUUGGUAAUUUUCUCUUCUCCUUUAUUUCCACUCGUUCUUAAUCUAAAUUAAAAUUUUCAUUCAAUUCAUUAAUUUAGAUAGCAAAACCAAUUCAUUUUAUGUAAUUUAUUCUUUUUUAAAAAUUUAUAAAAUUACCCCUAAUAUUUUACUUUAUUUAAUUUAGUCCCUAAGCCUAAAACAUGCAAAUUAACCAUUUUUACUCAAAUUUGAGCUUAGUCGAAUUUAUAGGAACCUUACUACAUCCCAUAUUUAAUGUUAUUAUAGAUUAAAUCCUUAUACUUUUACUAUUUUAACAAUUUAGUCCCUAAUGGGUAAAUUCAUCAAAAAUCGCUUAACAAAUUACUUAUAAAUAACAAUUAAUACUUUAAAUUCAUCAUUUUACAUCUAGAAUUAAAAAAGAUUCAUUAAUGGAAAAAUUCAAAAUCUUUAACAGUUUCAAAAACGAAGGUACGAGCUAGUUAGACCUAGUUGCAACGAUCUCAAAAACAUAAAAAUUACAAAAAAUGAAUUAAGAAAUCAUAUCAUGCAUGAGUAGCUAAGAAUGUCCAAAAGCUUAAAGAAAACUCCCAUGAAGCAUUCGGUUCCAAAAUAGAAGAAAAAUGAUGCUUAUGUUUCUUUAUUUGUUUCUUUAUCUUUUAAUAAUAUUAUAACAUAUAAAACACAUAAAAUAUUAAAAAAAAUUUAAAGCUUUAACCGUCCACCAACUUAAGAAUGGGUAAUUUAUCCAUUAAGGCCAUCCAAUUAUGUUUCUUUAAUCAAUUAACACCUUUAAACUAAUAGCGAUUGACUUUUUCAACUAUUAUGAUUUAGUCCUUUUUGCUUAAUUAACUAUCUAAACAUUAAAAUUUCCUAACGAAACUUUAAUACAACCUUAAUAACACUUCGUAAAUAUUUAUAAAAAUAUUUACGGUUCGGUUUAUAGAAACGAGGUCCCAAUACCUCAUUUUCUAAAACCACUUGACUUUAGGGCAUACCACUUGAACCUAAUUGUUCUUCUAUUUAACUCAAAUAAUUAAAUAAAAUUUUAUCAAUACAUAUAUUAUUCAUAAAUAUUAAAUAAUAAUAUUUAUGGACUCACACGUCGGAUUUGUGGCCCCGAAACCACUGUUCUGACACCACAAAGAAAUGGGUUGUUACAACUAUUCUUUUAGAGUUCGCCAUGAAGGUUAUUCUUUUUUAGUUCGCCACAAAGGUUAUUCUUUCAUGUCAUGUUUACGAUAUGGAUUUGCCUAAAUUCACGAUGCGUGAGGUUUGCCCAUCAUCAUCUUGGGAUACGUAGAAAACUCCGUUAGGUAAUCACCAUCCUUUAGUUCCUUUUAGAGGUUGUCAUGAUCAUGGCUUAAUAUACAUCUAAAGUUAUCAAUCCAGGCUAAACCUUUAAAAUGAUAACAGAUUACCAAUCCAGGCUGAAUCUGUGUCACAUGUAUCUUCGAGUUCACAACAAAUGCUGGAGCUCGAUUAUGAAAUAAACUCAUUUUACAAACAUUUCAUGCACUGAAACAAACUAAGCACAAUUCACUGUUAACAACCAACAUACUACACAUCUCAUAACAUAAAAUCUAGACAUUUAGAUGCAACCAUACGUCACAUCACAUUACUCAUACUUGUACUCACCAGAUUCUAUAUCAAAUAUACAUACUAUCCUCAACAAACAUUCACACAAUCAUAGAUAUCCUUUAAUAAUCCCUCAUAUAGCCACAUACAAACCAUACUAAAACUUUCAAGAUCUCAACAUCACCUUUCAACCAAUUCCCUAUAGAUCUUCUGAUAUGAACAGUACACCUGCAAAAUUCAUCAUAGAGAUUCACUCGAUUCUCACCUACAGCGGUUCAAAACUCUAGAUCUAGACUUUCAUCAUGCAAUCAACAGAAACUACUGAUUUACAUAUUCUACCAUCCUGGGUGGCCUGACAAUGAUGGUUUUCACUAUUUACAUAUUCUACCAUUCCGGGUGGCCUGACAACGAUGAUUUUCAAUAACUAUAUUGAGGACUCCAUGGCAUGCUAACUAAACUAGACUCUACCCUAAAAAGUUAAUCGGGUAAUUACUAAAUCAAUACACAUAAUAAUCACACAUCAUAGUUUAUAUCAAGUUUUUUUAUGCUAUAUUCAAUUUAAUCUAAUUUUGGACAUUUAAUGCCAUCAUUUAUAAAUCGAGUAAAGAAGCAACCAUACAUUUACCUCAAUAGAUAGAUUUGAAACAAUCACAUAUAUGUAUAUAUGCAUGUGUCUAUGUAUUUAUGUAUUGAAAUUAAACUAUAAAAGUACAAAUCAAAGCUUUUGUAACUCGUCUACGACACUAGCUUUUCUUUUAUGUAGAGACGGCCCAGCGUCGUAUUUAGCUAUGUUUGAUAAUUCAAUCAUAAAGCAAUGUCAAUUUCCAUCCAAUUCACAUUCAAAUACAUAGUCAAAAAUAUUUUUCAUUUUAUUCAAUUUAUUCCCUAUAUUCGACAGACUCGUAUUUUUCAAUAUCUAACAUCGGAUCAAAAUUUAAUUUCACAUUAUUUUAUUAGGGACUCUAUACUUUUAAUAUACAACAUAAUCUCAUGAAAAUUUUCAAUUUGUUCAAUUUAGUCUUUAAUAUUAGAAAAUUAUCUAACAAGCUUAACUCAGAUUCCAAUUUAGUCCUUAACAUAAUCUAAGUUCACUAUCUUGUGAUCUCUUCAAUUUCAAGCUUAAUUCAUCAAUUUUUUCUAAUGGCAACUUGUCAAACAUCUAAUAAUUUACUAAAUUAACACAUGGGCUAGCUAAAUCAAGCUCCCAUUAUCAAGAAUCUAUAAAAAAAAUUGAAGAAAAUGACUUGAUUACCUUAGUUAAUUUGGGACAAAAAUGAAUAUGAAGGCUUGGAGAAAUUUCUUCUUUCUUUUUAACUUAGGACGGAAAAGUAAGAUGGAAAAGAUGAAAGUGCUUUCAGCUUCCUUAACUUGUUUAAUUAUGAUUAGUUUACAAAACUAAUAUAUAUUUAUCCAUAAUUGUAAUUAUAGAAACUAAGUGGAUGUCAUAAUCAAUUCCCACAAUUACAUAAGAAAUAAUGGUUUAAUAACCAUUUUGGUCCUUUGCAUAAUUACUAACUAGGUCCGCAAGUAUUUUAUAAAUUAAAAUUCAAUAGAAAUUAGAUUUUUACAAUUUAGUCCCUGAGUUUUAAUUAACGAUUUUCUCGAUUAAAUUAUUUAACUGGUAUUCAAUAUGUUUUCAUAAUAGCUCAAUAAAUAUUCUCAUUUUACCUUUAUGGACUCAAUUCACGGAAAUGCGGUUUCGAUUUUUUAACACCACUUAAAAUCAAGUCGUUAUAUUAAUAUUCUCAAGGACACCUUCAAUAUUUUGGUCAUCAACAUGAAGAACAAAGUUAAAAGAAAUUGAAGCAGGGUUUAAAGAUCUCAUUAUAAGUUCUUAUCAUAUCUAUUCUUUUUGAUACAAUGCUUAAAACUACCCAUAGCCCCUCUCUAACCCUUAAAUAGGAGGUUAAUGCACUUCAGCGUACUCAAAUCCACGUCCUCCUGCAUUGGCAACAUUGCCGAUACUAAUCGAGCUAAGACUCAAUCGACAACACUUCAUUAUUAGUAAACUUAAAAAGUUAUAUAUCCUUAAAAAAUAAAAUUUUUCUUUCAUUUAUAGAAAUUUCAAAUUAAGAUAUCUUAAAAUAUACUAUUUUAGAAUGUUAGUAUUUGUAAUUAUUUUUGUUUGAAUAAAUUCUUUUUAGAAAAAAAUUUAAAUUAUUAAAAUUUUAUGAGUUAAAAAAAGUAAAAGAAAAGUAAUUAUGUUAAAAAUAAAUAAUAUUGUUGAGGUUUUCUCUUGUUCUCCCUCUCUUUGGAGCAACUCGUUCAUAUUUAUAAGGCACGAUCUCUUGAUGUGACGUGUUAGUGUCGCAGGCUAAAGUUCAAAGCUCGUGACCAUGGUACAAGAUGUGCCUCAUGGAGGUCUAUCGAUUAGAUGGGGAACAUUUAGCCCACGAGAACUGGCCCGAUUCAAAGAACUGUUAGAGAAGCCUAUAAGAGUGAAGUCUUGUUGGCCCGAUAAUGAAGAUAUGACAACUUAGGUUAUUUUUAGUAAAUAGAGGAAUCAUAUCUUGUAGAUUUGAUUUGAUAUAAUCUAAUUUAAUAAAUCCCUAAAAUCAAGGGAUAGGUUAAUCUCGUCCGUCAAUGUAAUUUUAUCUUAACCGUCGUUUUAAGGAAGCUCAACUAUAAAUAGAGAGCCUGCCCCUCAUUUGUAUCUCAUCCAUUGUAUGUUGAAUUCUUAAGAGUAAUAGAAUUCUUUGAGCAUUUACUCAAACACUUUUUGUGCAUUCUUUCUUUGGCUUUCUAUUGUUCACCUGUACCUUCUUUUAGCACAAUCGCUUCCACUAUACAAAUUGGCGCCUUAGAGGAAUUCAAAAAGAAUCCUAACUUUUGGGAGUAAAGGCUGACUUAGAUGAGUUUGGAGCAAACAAAUCGCCUAAGGCCGCACGGAUUGCGAGACGAAAGAUCUAGCCCCAUAACAAGUGGUAUCCCAACUAUUGGUUCGAAGGCACCAUUGGGAUGUCGAAAAAAGUUGUUGAUCAGAAUGAGCCAAUGCAGACCCGUGGGAGGGCCAAAAAAGUAAAUUACUUUAGGGACAUGCUUACAGCUUUUGGAAAUCGAGUGGUUAAUCUCGAGGAUUCUGUAGGUAACAUGAAGGAGAUGCUUAAGUUGGUCGAUGACGCACAGAUGGGUUUGACUCAAUGGAGGAGAAACUCAGAGAUUUUGUGUUGGAUUCUCUCGGUGCCAAUACAGAAAAGAUGAAUGAAUUAGUCAAUUCCACUACGACAAAGCUGGCAGAGAGGGAUUAGAAUCUUGAGGAUAUGGUGUUAGCCAUGAAGAAGGAAAUAUAAGAGCUUAAGGGGGAGCUCACGAUUUACAAAGCUACUCUGAGUAAUGGGAUGUUGUCUUCAAGGCCGAAGCAACAAGCAAUGAAUGUUCCCAAACCGGAGAAGCUUAAGGGUGCAAGGUUCGUAAGGGAUGUGCACAACUUCUUGUGGGAAAUAGAGAAAUACUUCCAAGCCAUGGGUAUCAAGGAUGAUGCCAUUAAGGUAAACACUGCUUCAAUCUAUUUUACUGAUGUGGCUCUCUUGUGGUGGUGUUGUAGGUCCAUAGGAUGAGAAACAUGGUGGGAACACAAUUGGGACUUGAGAGGAGUUCCAAAGAGAGUUGAAGAAGCAGUUUUACCCAAAGUAUGCCGAGAAGGAGGCUCAGGCUAAAUUGCAUUGUCUCACGCAACAAGUCACUGUUCGGGAGUAUGUUUGGGCAUUUAGCGAGUUGAUGCUUCAAAUCUCUGACUUGAGUGAGACAGAAGCAUUCUAUUGGUUCGAGGAUGGGUUAAAGUUGUGGGCAAAACAUGAGUUGCGUAGGUAAGAAAUCAUAGAACUUACUGUAGUCGUGGCGGAAACAGAGUCCUUUGUUGAGCUUGGUCCAACAAAAGACAAGUUUGAGUCGUCUAAGCCUAAUGGAAAGGGCAAUGGUGAGAGAAACCAUGAGGAAGAUGAAGAGGGACAUAGCGAUGAUGACAACAGUACCGAUAGCACAAGUGGCAACGGGAAACCACAAGAUACGAAGUGGGGAUCCAACAACUCAAGGGACAAGGGAAAGAGGAUAAAACGCUUCAUUUGUCAAAGACCACACAUGGCGCGAAAAUGUCUGAAGAAAUUGAUGAUUUAGGCGAUCAAAAAGAAAGAUGAGCUGAAGGAAGAGGCGAAGCCUAUUGAGGGAAAUACGUCGAGGGUCAAUUCGAUGGUGCUCAUUCCUAAGAAAAGGAAUGGUGAAGAAGGGUUGAUAUUUGUGGACAUCAAUAUUGCGGGUCAGAAGCGAACUGCUCUUAUUGAUAUAGGAGCAUUGAAUUUGUUCAUAUCAGGAAAAGUUGCGAAAAAGCUUGGUCUGUCGAUUAAAAAAUCGACAAGAAGAUCAAGACAGUAAAUUUUGAGGAGGCUCCAAUUGUAGAGUAGUUUGUAAUGUAGAGCUGCAAAUCGGUGAAUGGAAAGACAAUGAAGACUUUAAGGCAAUCCAAUUGGAUUAUUACAAUUAUGUACUUGGUUUAAACUUCCUUGACAGGAUUCAGACAGUUAUAUUUCCAUGGGCUAAUGAAAUUCAUAUUGUCAUUGGUCCAUUAUCAAAGAUUGUUGUGUCAGUGCAUCACGAUAUGAAGGUUGGGACCAAUGUGUUGUCGUCAAUCCAACUAGUCGAAGAUGUUUCGUAUGGGAGAAACAUUAACGCGAUAGAACGGAAUGUUACAAAAGCCCCUUCAAAAAAGUUAAUGGAACAUGGACCGAUAUGAGACCUGUGGAGUCGACUGUGGAGCCGUCACCUUGGGAAGGUGGAUUGUGUACCAAACUUUGAGGGGAAAGAAGUAAUGCAAAAGCAGUCAAAACGAGUAAAUGCUGUGAGUAAGGUACAUUGCAAACGCUUUGAUAGUGUUUUGAAUUCUGACUUGUUGGCUUGGCAAGGUCGUAAGGGCCCUUUCAAAGUUCUUAAGUAAGGAGGCCGAGGGACUGUCGGUGGUACGAAGCCAAGAUGUGAGAAUCCAGGGGAUUAUAAUAGGACCAAGUCAAAAUUGGGGCAUGUUAAAGCGGAGACUUCUUGGCAACGGGAUGUACAACAAGUGCAACGGUUCAAGUUAAAAGGCGACGGAAGCCAAGGCAAAGGUUCCGAAGGAAAGGGCAAAUAAAUCGCAAGACAAGUCGGGAAUAAGCUAAGGCAACGAGAAAGUUCCAAGGUGAAUUAAGUCAGUGUCAUUCAGAAGUUGCAACGAAGGCAUUGCGAGAAUAGGUGGGGAAGAAUGUCACGGGCCAAAGUGCAAAGCUCGUGACCAUGCAUAAGAUGUACCCCAUGGAGGUCUACUGAUUAGAUGGGGAACAUUUAGCCCACGAGAACUGGCUCGAUUCAAAAAACUGUUGGAGAAGCCUGUCAGAUUGAAGCCUGGUUGGCCAGAUAAUGAAGAUAUGGCAACUUAGGCUAUUUUUAGUAAGUAGUGGAAUCAUAUCUUGUAGAUUUAAUUUGAUAUGAUGUAAUCUUGUAAAUCUCUAAAAUCAAGAGAUAGGCUAAUCUCAUCCGUCGAUGUAAUUUGAUCUUGACCGUCAGUUUUGGGGAAGCUCAACUAUAAAUAAAGAGCUUCCCCCUCAUUUGAAUCUCAUCCUUUGUAUGUUGAAUUCUUAAGAGUAAUAGAAUUCUUUAAGCAUUUACUCAAACACUUUGUGUGUAUUCUUUCUUUGGCUCUCUAUUGUUCAUCUGUAGCUUCUUUUGGCACAAUCGCUUCCGCUAUACAAAUUGGUGCCUUAGAGGAAUUCAAAAGGAAUCCUCACUUUUGGAAGUAAAGGCUGACUUAGGUGAGUUUGGAGCUAAUGAAUCACCUAAGGCUGCACGGAUUGCGAGACGAAAGAUCUAGCCCCGUGACAUUAGGGGACCAUUAGGUGCCAAGAGCAUGAAACAUUCACCCCUAGCUCGACACGUAAUCUGAAACGUGUCUCUCCCCACGAGGUGGUGAGAUGAUCACUAUAACACCCUUAACUCAUCUCCAUCACUGAAUUAGGGUUACAUUAUAUUACGAUAGUUAACAAGUCCGAUAAUAUCUUAAAACAAUUCAAAAAUCAAUUUAAACAUUAUAGAUCAAUAUUCAAUCAUUAUUCACAGCAUAUAAGCAUAAAUGAAACUUAAAUCGGGCCUACGAAACCUAAAAAUCAGUUUAGAAACAAGUCAUUUACAUAUACAUUUCGUUUAAAUUAUUAUUCACAGCAUAUAAGAGUAAACGGAACUUAAAUAACAUCUUUUAGCUAUGGUCUUAUUCAUUUGAAUCAUGAUUAACCUGCUCAUAUCCAUUUCAUAUUAUAUGCCAUUCAAUUCACACAUACUCAUUUACUAUGCUUCACAAAUCAAUCUAAGAUUUCCAAUUUUAUGACUUACCUCAAUCAUGAUAACUAUAGUAUAUAUAAACAAACACACAUAUAAUUGAAUUCAAAUCAUUAAAAAUAUAAUAAACCUAAUACGAACUUACCUAAACCAAUUCUGCAGAAAAAACAACCCUAACAUCUAAUCAUCAAUUUUUCCUUUCCCGCGUUUGUCAAUCGACUAAUACAUUUCUUGAUGUAAAUAUAUUAAUUUUAUUCAACUAAUCGAUUCAAAUAUCAUAAAAUACUUAAAUUCACAUAUUUGACUCUUUAUCAACAUUUUACCUUUUAUUCAAUUUAGUUUCUAAACCCAAAACUUUUAAAUUGAACAUAUUUAAUCCCAAACCAUACUAGAAUAAUUUCAUAUAGUCCUUUUACAUCCCAUAUUUAGCACAUUUUCACAAGAAUUUCAUACAAUUUUACUAUUUUAACAACAAAAUCCCUAAAUACAAAAUUAACAAAAUUUACUUAAUCAAAUAAUCCUUAAACAUUUCAUAGCUUCCAAAUCCAACAAUUUCUAUCAAAAACACCUGAGAUUCAUCAAUGGGAAGUUUUAAAAUCUUUAACAAUUUUAAAAUCGGUGAUAUGGGUUAGCUGAAUCUAGUUGCAACGAUCUCAAAAAUAUAAAAAUACUAAAAGAAGAGCUUGAAUUUCAUACCAUGCAAGGAGAUUUAAAGCUUGGUUGAUUCUUCCUUCAAGCUUCAAUGGUGGUUUCAGUUAAAGAAAAAUAAAAUGAAGAAGAUGAUGACUAAUUACCUUUUGUUUUUUUAAUCUUUUAAUAAUAUUAUAACAUAUAAUUCUUUUGAAUUAAAACAUUUUAAACAAAAAAAAUUUUUCGCCCAUUAACCGUCCACACUAACUAAAAUAAGUUCUAAUUGCAUUUUAAAACCUUCAUUUAAUACUUUUAUAACCAUUUAAUACAAAUAAACUUAUAGCGAUUAACUUUUACAGUAUUUACGAUUUGGUCCAUUUUACUAAAUUAAUUAUCUAAACAUUAAAAUUUUUGGACCAAACUUUAAUACACCUAUAUAACCACUCCGUAAAUAUUUAAUAUAAAUAUUUACAAGCUCGGUUAAUAGAAACGAGGUCCCGAUAUUUCGUUUUCCAAAAUCACUUGACUUUAAGGACAAACCACUUGAACUAGACUAUUCAUUCAAAUAACAAAAAUUAUCAAAUUAAAAUUUGUUAUAAUAUUAUAUUUGACUCAUAAAUAUUAAGUAAUAAUAUUUAUGGGCUCACUCAUCGGAUUUGUGGCCUCUAAACCACUGUUUUCAACACCACUGAAAAAUGGAUUGUUACAAUCACACUUUGCGUGAUGUUUGUGAUGGGUGGCUUGUGACCUUGCAAGGUUGUAAGGCAAGAUGACGACGACGAAAUGAUUAAAUGGUAAAGCCUUGGUGAGGACAUCUUCACAAGAUGGUGAGGCACUUCGAUGGCCUAAGAGUUAGGCUCAUGAGAUAGUGCGAGGUGGCAAAGAUUACCUUGCGAAGUAAGAAGGCAAUGGCUGGCUUGCGAGGGCUCGUGAAGUGGCAACAGACAUGAAAUGGGCCUCGCGAAGUGAUGAUGGACUUGUGAGAUGGCAAGGCACCGUAGCUGGCUUGCGAGAUGGGUCAAGCUUCUCAUUUCAUAUGGUCGAGUUGAAUUUUAAGUUUCUCAAAUAUUCUAUAACAAAUAUAUAUAUAUAUAUAUAUAAAAGCAAUGCAAAAAUCAUUGUAUUCAUGAAAAUAUAUAAGUUUUUAAAUAAUAUAAAUAAAUAUUUUGAAGUUUAACCUUUUUUUAUUUUGUGGUAAGCCAUAUAAAUGAAUUAAAAUUUAAAAAAAAUUGAAAAAUAGGACCUUUUGAAAUUUUUUAGUAUUUUUAUUCAAAUAAGUUAAUUUAUUUUUGGAAAAUUUAAAACCUUAAUAAAAUGAAAUCUCUUGUCUGAAUUUCUCUUCUAAAGAGAAUUUCUUUCUUUUUAAAGUUUUUUUAUGGUGUUAUAAUUUAUUUGGCCUCUAACUUUAUGAAAAAAAAAAUAUUGUAGAAAAAAAUUUAUUGUAGCCAUUCAUUUAAAAUUUCACAUUUUUUAGUUCUUAAACUUGUGUAUUUGUCAAAUUACUCCAAUAUGGAUGAAAAAGUUAACAUUUUUCAACUUUAUUGAUGUGACAAAAUGGAUUGUCAUGUGGAUAACAUAUAAAUAUUUAAUUGACUUAUUAAAAUUUUUAAAAAUUAAAAACAUUAUUUUUUAAAAUUAAAAUCAUUAAAAUUAUUUAAAAAGUAUAAAAAAUUUAAUUUUUUAGAAAAGUAAUUAAAUGCUGACAUUUCGUACAUGUGGCAAUUCACAUGUAUGCCACAUCAACAAAGUUGGCAAAAGUUAACUUUUCUAUCCAUUUUGAGGUUAAUUUGACAAAAAAUGCAAGUUCAACAAAAUAAACUCUUUUGUAAAGUUGGAAGACAAAAAAGACAUUAUACAUUUUUUUUAAUGAUGAAGUGUGAACACUUAUUAACUAUCAUGAUAUUUAUACUUUAUUUAAAUUCUUAAUUGUGUUACUAUCACGAGCUAAUUAGACACCAACUCAAUUGAAAACUAACCAAAAAAAUCCUUUAAAAGUAACAAAUAUUAUUAUUAAAUUAUUUUCAUUUUUAUAUAAAACCUUAUAAAAACAAUUGAAACCUAUAAUAAAUAUGUCAAUGAUGGACUUCAACCUAGAAUAUUAAGAUCUUCAAUGUUUCAAUUUUGCUAUUCCAACCAAUAAUUAAUUUAGUCUUUAUAUAAUUUUUUUAAAUAUAUUUAUAUAAUAUUUUUCAGGUUAAUAUAAUUUAAUAGAACUAUAUUUAUGAUGUAGAUAUGCAUCAAAUAUAAAUUUUAUCAAAGUGGAAGUUUCCUCGUAAACACGUCGCACCAGGCUAUGGUAGAAAAGUCCAAUAACUUAGAUCACAUAGACCCCUAGUCAAUACGAUAUGGAAAACAUUACCCUAUAAAUAUCUCCACUGCCUCAAUCCCUCUGCUCACAUCAAACUUCCCUCUCAUCCUUUGAAAAUGGAGUCCUUAACUAUGGGAAAAAAGCUACUAACAUCUGUUCUCGUAGAACUUGUAGUUGCUUCCGCUAUAACCCAAACCGUGUUGGCUCAAAACUGUGGCUGUGCGCCAAACUUGUGUUGCAGUCAACAUGGUUAUUGCGGUCAGGGUAACGAUUACUGUGGCACUGGUUGAAAAGAAGGCCCUGGCUUCUCCAAGUCUCCCACUGGUGCUUCAGUUGCCUCCAUUGUUUCACCUCAGUUCUUCAACGGGAUAAUCAACCAAGCUCGUGCAGAUUGUGCAGGCAAGAAAUUCUAUACACGACAAGCUUUCCUGACUGCACUUGAUUCCUUUCCCGAUUUCGGAAAAUUGGGUUCUGAUGUUGAAUCCAAGCGUGAGAUUGCA
rnacentral:lncRNA from 1 species